rnacentral:lncRNA from 1 species
UAAAAUCCCGUGUUAAGGCUUGUUUAGUUCAUACCAAAAUUGAAAGUUUGGUUGAAAUUGAAACGAUGUGACAGAAAAAUUAGAAGUUUGCGUGUGUAGGAAAGUUUUGAUAUGAUGAAAAAGUUAGAAGUUUGAAGAAUUAUUUUGGAAUUAAACACGGCCUAAAAUUUUAAUGAGAUCAGGGAUAUAUCGCUAGUUUAUUAGUUUUCAUCUUUUAGGGCAUAUAUUAGGGAACAUAUUUAUAAAAAUGUGUGGGUUUUCGAGUCUAUUUGAAUUGUUUCCCUACCAAUUUUUUGUAGUGCCAAAAUCUAGGCAAGUUUUGGCACUACCAAAUAUUUGGUAAGGUAAGAUUGUUUUUUAUCAUAUUUGGUUUGCUACAACAUAGAGUCAAAAUGUGAAAUUGUAGUAAAGAAUGUUCAUAAUGCCAAAUCUAUAUUAGGUAGGAGUACCAAUAAAUGGGCUUCAAUUCAAAUCAAACACAAGUACUAUUUAAAUUACCAAAAUAUUGGUAGGGCAGUUUUUGGUAGCAAUCCAAAUUAGCCCUUCAUCUUUUAGUGUUUCAUGUGUAUGUGUAUGUGCUAUCUAAUCGAAAAAAAAAAUUAGUUAAUCAAGAAUUAACUAAUUUUUAUAUCACGUGAAUAAUUUGGCUUGCGCCGUUCCGCGUCGUGCGCGCUGUCGGAUGCUGGAUGCAAGAGGCCAGAGCCAACCAUCCACAGCACCUAGCACAGCAGGGGGUCGCGCGCUGGUCAACAGCCGCGUACCCCCACGGUCAACGCGCAUCAGCCACUCGAUCUGAGGCAUGCACGGUCUAGAUGAUGCCACGUUCGCAAUAAAAGCUCCCCCUGAUCAACAAGUGACGUGCUGUUUCACGGAGUGUGACGUGGCACGGGCAGUAUAGUACGUGUACGUGUGAACACACGCGCAUGCGACAGCGCAUUUCCACGCGUGCAAUUCUGACUCGCAAAAAGCGUAUAGUAGUACUAGCUGCUUUUUUGCAAUUUGUAUUCCUUGAACGGCACAACGUGUUUGGUGGAAAAUUCAUAAAAGUCACCGUACUUUUUGACGAAAAACGGAUAUAUGCUUGGUUGAGCGGUCCACUUUAAGCUACCAAUAUCGAUUAUCUUAUCGUUAGUCAGCUUCAGUGAGAUCAUAUCUAAAGUAACUGGUGCUGAACUCGUCAAGGAAUCAUUCCGGCGGCCUGAAAGCCCCUCUUUGGAUGGCUCUGCGCCUCUGCCUGGCCGCUUCCGAUCGGCCGGAAUCUAUGUCCUCGUACCUUUUACGCAGCACCAACUGAUGAUUGCGUGCUUUCAACAUAUUUUGGUUUGGAACGCAGUGAUCUCGUAUUUUAUUCGAAAUGCGUAAAAGCUUUGUUGAUUCUACGGAAACGCUCUUUGGUUUGUAGAAAAAAAACCCUUCAUAUAUCUUUUCCUUUGAAAUUCCUUUGUAAUGACAAUCUUGUAAAUAGUUUGGAAUUUUUUUCAUAAGAUAAUAUCAUCCGACGUGACUAGGGAUUUUAAGUUUUUGUUUGCGACCACUUAUCUUAUUUAAAAAAUUUGUGCAAAUAGAAAAAACGAAAAGCUGUGCUUAAAGUACUUUGGAUAAUAAAGUAAAUAAUAAAAAGAAAUAAUAAUUCCAAAUUUUUUUAAAUAAGAUGAGUGGUCAAAUAGUGCAAAUAAAAACUCAGAAUAGGGACGGAGGGAGUAGUUUCUAAGGCCUGGUGGUCGGCAUGAACCAAUCUUUUUUUUUUUCUAGCUGUACCUAAACACCUGUUUUAAAGUUUUCUUUCUCGUAGAAUCAUACUGUAUGUAGAAUUGAAGAAACUAUGCCAUCCUAUUCAUGUGCUUUUACAUACUCUUCCCUAUUCUUAUGUUUUGAGUUUUCUUCCUUCUAGAGGGCCCUUGUUUCUCUGUAAUGUGAAGUUCUUUAGUGCCAACUGCCAAGACCUUAAUCACGGACUAAGGGUCUGUUUAGCGGAGUUUAAAAUUCUGAUCAACAACCAGCUGGUAGCCAACUUCUAAGAAUCUGGAAAAAUUAGAUUCUAUAACUACAGCUUCUCAGAAUUUAUACCAAAAACUGAUCUAUUUAGGGGAGAUUCUGAUUCUGGAAAAAGCUGCAGGAGCUAAAAUCUCCCUUAAACGGGCUCUAAGUGGAUCCACUAUAUAUAUAGUGGACUUUUGUCUUAUCUCAGUUCUUUCAACGGAGUACUAGGCACAGCCCAUAUUGUGAAGGAGAAGAAAAUGGCCAGACCUUUUGACUGCGAGGCAUGGGCUGGAUAGUCUUUGGGAUGAGGUGACCGAUGCGAGGGUAAUAGAUGCGCCGUAGACCUGCUGUUUCUGACCUUUUGGCGCACAGCUCUACGCACGACAACUCUACUCCGUGUAGGAUAGUGUAGGCUAGUGUAGCGGUACUGAGUAUUCCGUAUUCGUGCUGUACAACCGUGGUGUGCUCCCUGCGUACGGUGGUUUGGGGAUUUUUUUUCACAAAAUAUGUGGAUUUUUUAAAAAUAAAGCUAUCUAAAUCUUGCGGAGUUAUUGUAAUGGUAUUUUUUGGGAUAAUUUUUCAUGACAGGUAUUGUGCAUUGAUAUAGUUAGUGGGCCUUUUUGAAUGGUUAAAGUGAAAAUAUUUUUCACUGAACGCUUUCUAAACGUCAAUGCAUUUAUGAAUAGAGUAGAGAGUACUAUGGAGUCUGACCUUCUCAGAUGGGAGACUCUCUAGCUACCGGGAUGAUACUAGACCUUUGUGUUCAUCAAGAGAUCACAUGUUCACAUGUGUAGGCCCUUUAUAUAUGUUGAGUUGUUGACUUGUGUUCUUCAGAGGGUGACAGUCUCCAUGGCUCAAUGAUUUGUUUGGAAUUGUCUAUUCUGUUUCAGUUGGCAUGGGACAUGGGUCUUGUACUCUGUCCCAAAGUGUGCAUGUGUCCUCAUCCGAUUAAUCAAGGCACUGUGUUAAUCAUUCUUUAGAAACUCAUUAACUGUAUGCAUACAUAGACUGAUUGAGGGGCUACAGAUCAUAAACCAUGGAUGCAUGUGGGUAUUAAUCAUUUUUUACCCUCGGUUUGGUGCAUGCUGUCACUAAGUGGAGUGAACUUGUUCACAGUUGAGAUUAUGAGUAAAUAUCAAGGAGACAAGAACUGAAAUUCGAAAGGAAUUAAAGUCAUAAAUGAAAUGAUUGAAUUUUCAGAAUGUUGAAGGACUGAAAACUUGUGCAAUUCGUUGAGCAGGUAACGUAUGGACGGCGAGCGCGCACAUCAUCACGGCGGUGAUCGGCUCCGGCGUGCUCUCUCUCGCAUGGGCAACGGCGCAGCUCGGCUGGGUGGUCGGGCCGGUGACUCUGAUGCUCUUCGCCCUCAUCACGUACUACACCUCUGGGCUCCUCGCCGACUGCUACCGCACUGGCGAUCCGGUCAGCGGCAAGCGCAACUACACCUACAUGGAUGCCGUUGCGGCCUACUUAGGUAAAUACUAUUCCUUCCAUUUCAAAAUAUAUGGAGCUGUUGACUUUAAUAUAAUGUUUGUUCAUUCGUAUUAUUUAAAAAUUAUAUAAAUAUUAUUUAUUUUGUUGUGACUUGUUUUAUCAAUAUAGAAACUAGUCUUAACUUAUACUUUUACAUAUUUACACUAAAAUUUUGAAUAAAACGAAUGUCAAACGUUAUACGAAAAAUCAACACCGUCAUACAUUUUGAAAUUGAAAUGGAGGUAGGAAUAACAAGCUGUGUCUACAUGAACAUCGAUAUGCAUGCGUCAGAGAAUUUAGAAUUUUUUCUCUGAAUUCAGAGAUGUCAUACGAGCCUUGUUGCUGUUCUUAAAUAUGCAGGUGGCUGGCAAGUCUGGUCCUGUGGUGUUUUCCAAUAUGUCAACCUGGUUGGGACAGCAAUUGGGUACACAAUCACAGCAUCCAUCAGCGCAGCGUAAGUUCUGAAGAAUUGAUCUGUUCAUAAAUCACAAUGGCAUACUACAAUUCUCCAUUGCUUUCACAACUCAAUGCUAUGCACGGUUCUGACUUCUGAGGUUAAUUUGAAUGAUCUUCUACAGGGCUGUGCACAAGGCCAACUGCUACCACAAGAACGGCCACGAUGCCGAUUGCGGUGUCUACGACACCACGUACAUGAUCGUCUUUGGAGUCGUCCAGAUCUUCUUCUCCAUGCUGCCCAACUUCAGUGACCUCUCAUGGCUUUCCAUCCUCGCCGCGGUCAUGUCAUUCUCAUACUCGACCAUUGCCGUUGGCCUCUCGCUUGCGCGAACAAUAUCAGGUGAAGAAAUCUUUCUGAAGAUGGUAUCAGUGUCACUGCAUAUAUAGUUUGUAAGCUUUCUCAUCAUCUCCAUGUGUCUGUACAGGUGCUACUGGUAAGACUACUCUGACUGGCGUUGAGGUUGGAGUUGACGUCACUUCAGCCCAGAAGAUCUGGCUCGCGUUCCAAGCGCUCGGUGACAUCGCGUUCGCCUACUCCUACUCCAUGAUCCUUAUAGAAAUUCAGGUAAGCUGUGCACAGCAAAGUUCAGAGUUUGAGAAACAUUUGAGCAACAGUCACAAACAUGUCUCAGUUUGUUUGCUUGCAAGGUUUUUAAGUAACCGAUGAUGAGUCUGAAAAAAAUGGCAUUUGAAAUUGCAGGACACGGUGAAGUCUCCACCGGCGGAGAACAAGACGAUGAAGAAGGCAACGCUGCUGGGGGUGUCGACCACGACGGCGUUCUACAUGCUGUGCGGGUGCCUGGGGUACGCGGCGUUCGGGAACGCGGCGCCGGGGAACAUGCUCACCGGGUUCGGCUUCUACGAGCCCUACUGGCUGAUCGACUUCGCCAACGUCUGCAUCGUGGUCCACCUGGUCGGCGCCUACCAGGUGUUCUGCCAGCCCAUCUUCGCCGCCGUCGAGACGUUCGCCGCCAGGCGGUGGCCGGGCUCGGAGUUCAUCACCCGGGAGCGCCCCGUCGUGGCCGGCAGGUCGUUCAGCGUCAACAUGUUCAGGCUGACGUGGCGGACGGCGUUCGUGGUCGUCAGCACGGUGCUCGCCAUCGUGAUGCCCUUCUUCAACGACAUCCUGGGCUUCCUCGGCGCCGUCGGGUUCUGGCCGCUGACGGUGUACUACCCGGUGGAGAUGUACAUCCGGCAGCGGCGGAUACAGCGGUACACGUCCAGGUGGGUGGCGCUGCAGACGCUCAGCCUCCUCUGCUUCCUCGUCUCGCUCGCCUCCGCCGUCGCCUCCAUCGAGGGCGUCAGCGAGUCGCUCAAGCACUACGUCCCCUUCAAGACCAAGUCGUGAUCCCGAUCACGACGGCCUUUUUUUUUUGCUUUUGCAUCCUGAUGAAAAAAGAUUUCAGAAACAUAUGCACAACAAAUGCCGGAAGUUAGCCAAGAGUUUGGUCACCAGCUCGGUGCGUUGGUCGGUCAGGAGGAGGAGGGUUCAACUUGUGUAGGUUAAGAAAUGCUAGAGAGUAUGGAGACCAUCUUCGAUUGCUGCUCAUGUAUAGAAAAAAGAGGAAGCUUCGUAUUCAUGUAAUGAAUCGGAAUGUUUAACAAACAAGGCUUGUUCUGAACUCUUCUCAGGGACAGGCAUGGAUAACAGAUUAAAGAUAAAUGAAUGUGUUAGACAAGGGCAGAUUAGAAGCGGCUCUUAAGCUUCACACAAUGGUUUUUUCUCUUUCUUUUAUUAAUGAAACCAAAGCAGUUGAACAAUUGAGCAAUAUGAUUAAUGAGAAACGACUGGAGGUCUCACUCCUCUUUAUAAAAUUCGAUACAGAAGUUCUUGCUCUCAUAUCUAACCUUUUUUUUAUAUAUAUAUAUUUUGCUAGAAAUUGCUUUGGCAGUGUAGAGGAUUGUACCAACCCAAAAACAUGUCACUAGUGUACUUAUGCGUGAUGAUGUCACGCUCUCAAGUUUUCCCCUUCUUCUUUCCUUAAAAUUUGUUAAAUAAAUCAUCCGAAGAAAUGGUUUGAAUUAACCUAGAGCUAAUUCCCUAAUUAAUAAAUGCAAUUAAUAAUUGGAAUUGGCAUCGUGGGAUUUUUCUUGGGUUCCACAUGUCGCAAUGCAUUAACAUGAUUUUUAGCGGAAUUUUCAGAGCCCUAUAAAUAAUUUUUAACCAUUUAAAAUCAUCAAGGUGCAAUUUUAAUCCCAGGAAAAUCCUUUUCCUUUUUCUUUUUUCUUUUCCUUCCUUUUUUUCUCUUGAUGGACCGUCGGCCCAUCUCUCUCCCGCGCCCCCAUCCUUCUUGCUGGGCCGGCCCAAGCCGCCUCCCUCCUCUCCCCGGGUCACCGACAGGUGGGGCCCACCUACCGCCGAAACUGCCCACGCCGCCGCGGUUUCCCGCCCUUCUCCGCACCCCCACUCCGCCCCCACCUCGCGCCCACGUCGCUGCCCUCUCCCCUCUCUCUCUCCACCCCCACGUCGCCGGCCAAAUAGGGGGCCACCCCACCCGUUUCCGCCCCUCCCGCGCCCAUAAAAUCACUCCCCCGAGUCUACUCUCUCGUUUCCCCCAUUCGCCGUCCUCUCCCAUGCCCCCUACCGCGCCCACGCUGUCACACCGAGCUCCGCCGCCCGCCGCCGACCUCCGGCCGCGCGCCGUCGCUGCUAGGCUCGCCGCCGCGCUAUGCAACCACCGCCGCUACCUCGGCCGUCGCUCGUUUGCCACCAAACAUCGCCGAAGCGCCGCUUCCCUCGCACGCCGGUGAGCUCUCCAUUUCCGCCCAACUCUGGCCGGCCGCUCUAGUCGCCGUGGUCAUCCUCCCCUUCUCCUAACCCGGUCAUCGCUUUUCCCAGGUUGUGCCCGACCCCGUCCGCCAUUGUCCGAAGCGCCGCCGCCGCUCGUCUCUUCCCGCGCCGGUCAUCGUCGCCUCUCCGGUGAGGACCCCCUUUUCCUCCCCUUCCACUCCUCUCUCGUGCGCGCCGCCGCUCCCCGCAUGCGUGCCAUCGCACUGCGCCGCCGUCCGCGUUGCCGGCCGCUGCCACCGGCCGGUCGCCGGUCACCGGCCGCCGUUCGCCACCGUGUGCCAUGCCCGGGUUGGCCUCGGUGUCGCCCGUCCCCAGCCGCCCGAUCGGCCCUCGGCCGAUCGUGGCCGUCCAUCCCAUGGCUUGGGUGGCCAGCCACGUGGUGCCACGUCGGCGCCACGUGGUACACCACCACCCCGGCCCCGUGGACCCGGUCCACGGUGGACCACCCCCUUUGAGCCGCUGACCCGUGAACCCCGCCUGCCAAGCUGCCCCCCCUUUCGCUGACAUCCGCCCUGGGGAUUUAUUGCGCAAUAAUUAAUUAAGGCCUUUUUCUUUAUUAGUAAAAACAUAGUUUAUCUUCUAAAAUUCAUAAGUAAUUCAUCCGAGCUCCGUUUAAGUCUAUUCAACUGUCAGUAAAUUCAUAAAAAUCCCUAGAAUUCAUUAAAAAUAGUUUUGUUCUCUGUUUCAGUAGUCUUAUAGCAUGUUUUGCUUGUGUGCUUUGUUUGUCGCGUAGAUUUCGGCCGUUUCGUCGAUCCGCGGUUCCUCGAAGACAUUGCUGUGGUCUCAUCAGUGCUAGAGCAAGGCAAGUCAUGCAUUACAAUUGAUCAUAUUGUACCCAAUUUACAAAUAUCCCACAUUUCUAUUAAAUGUUGCAUUCUUUUACAAUGUCAUGUGGGAUGGGUCCUAUUACUCAGCCAUAUAUUGUUUACCUUAUGCCAUUGAUGACUUGGGUAUCAAAAUGACUAGAUGUUGGUUUAGGAAAUGCUUAGCCAUGCCUAGCUCAACUAGUACACAAAUGGGGAUCACAUUAUUACAUAGACUUUGACUAUUAGCAUAGCUUUGGAUUGGUGCCACCGAAAUGGUGUUAGUUAAUUAAAAUACACUGAAUGGUGGGCUGUGGGUGCAUGGUUUCGCUGGUCGCACCCAUGGCAAUUAAGGACCGGUUCACGGGAAACCCUGGGAGACUUACCGUGCUUACCACAAGCGGGAGUGGGCAACUGCUUGAUCUGAAGUAUAGCUCGACCCUUUCCUAGGCACCGGUGGCGAGGGUGGGCGUGAUGGAGUUGGGUCAGCCGGGGUGUCCGGUUGUCCAGCUGCCGGAUUCACCGCGGCGCAAGAGGGGACCACCCACUGCCUUUUGAGGGGUGAGGGUGAAACCUUAGCGUGGUGUGGAUGGUUAGGGGAGGGUUAUGCGGAGGGUCUUGUCACGAUUUCUCUCCUUUGCAGUAUCAUGGUGAUACUUCGGGGCAUUGCGACAUGUGUGGAAUCGUGUCUUGUGGGUACAGUUGUACACCUCUGGCCAGCGUAAAACUAUUCGAAUAGCCGUGCCCGCGGUUAUGGGCGAUCAACCAGAUUCACCGUGAUUAGUCUCACCCCUAGCUUAGCUUAAUGAACUGGUGUAGUUCAGGUGGUUGGUUGGGCCUAUUGCAACGUGGUGUAGCGUUGGACAGUGAUUGGUUAAUACUGCUUAAUUACUACAAUUGUUUUACUGCUUUCAACUACUUCUUUUAAAUGACUACUUUAUUGCAAAGGAACCCCUUAGCCUCCUUUGGAUAUAUCCUGCAUCAUACCUCCUCUUCCGGUAUGACUUGCUGAGUACAGUGGGUAGUACUCAGUCUUGCUCUCUUUUCCCCCACACCAGAGCUGAAGAUCUUCAUAGUUGGAGCCGUCUUGUUGAGGUUGGUUUCGUCGCUGCCGUCAAGGGAUGCCUGUGGAGUGGAGUCGCCUCGCUGCAGAAUUCAAGCUUCCAAGUCUAGCUCGUUUUAUCUUUUUCCGCUGCAUUUGUAAUCUUUUCUAUUUUUGUAAGACGUGGAUCUGUAUGUCAACAAUUGUCGUUUGUGUACCCUGGCUGGUCCUGGACAGGGGUUUAAUGCACAUUCAGCUUAGAAAUUCUGGUUCGUGAAUUUCUGGGCGUGAUAAGUUGGUAUCAGAGCCGACCUUGACCGUAGGACAAGCCAACUGGAAACCUAAGAGCCCUCUGAACCCCUUUUUCAUCUGCAUAUGCUCUUUGCACUUGGAUUUGUUUCGGGAAAAUUUGGGGUUUUGCCUCUUUGGUUUGUGGGAAAAAUCUUGGUCGUUCAGAUCGGAUCUUUAAAAUUAGCUCAGUCUAGGGUUUUAGAAAAAUUUUAUUUGGAGUUUAUUCAACAGUCAGUCGGGAAUAUAUCGGGUGAUAUGCACUAAGUCGUGUCUAUGUUCGAUGGGGCAAUUUUGUGCGUAUCAUUAUAACUAUGCAUCUAUUUUAUGCAUUAAUUUAUUGUUUAGUCAGUUGCAUUAGUAUCUUCAUCUGGGUUCAUGAAAAAUGUUCCAUGCAUAAAAAUCACCAUGCUCAGUUAUUUGUUUGAGUCAUUUGUUGCUUUGUUUAUUUGGAUUUGAGCAUGCAUUGGUUCCUAUCCCUUGUCCAUCUUAGGUGUUAGACCUGUUCCUCGAUCGCAAGCGCCGCUCCGAGCUUCAGAGUCGCCGCCCUUAGCUUUAUCGUCUGCUUAGUCUAUUUGCUUGCUAGUUUCCAUGUUUUAGGUUUGUUGCUUGUGGGUUAGUCGGCGGUCGAUAUCAUGUGUCAGUGGUAUGGCUGCCUUAAUUAGGAGUUGCGUGCCUCUUUUUCAGUGUUUUAAUAAAGAUUAAGAUAAUUGCACUUAAAUUUAUAAGAAAGAUUAGUUUCUAAGCCCCCUGUUUUUCUUCCUUUCCUCAUAUUUCUACCUAUCCCCCUUCAGAUGGUGAAGACAAGGAAUGGUUCCCGUGAAUCCAACAACACCAGUGGCAGCGAAGAGCAUAUCAGUGGAGCACGUGCCAGCGAUACGUCUGACAACAGUCUGUCUCCACCGCCCGAGAACCCAACAAUCGCUCAGGUGUUGGACAAUUAGACUCAGAUGAUGACAAUGAUGAUGCAACAGAUGCAGCAACAGUAGGUGCAGUAGCAAGCACAGCAGCAGCAGCAGAACCUGCAGUUUGGUCUUCCACCUGCCCAGUCCAAACUGUUGGAGUUUCUCCGUGUCAAGCCGCCCACUUUCUCAAGCACCACCAACCCAAUCGAGGCCAACGAUUGGCUCCAUGCGACUUUAGAAGAAGUUGAAUCUUUUGCAAUGCAACGACCAAGAGAAUGUUGCUUUUACUACACACCAGCUGCAAGGUCCUGCUUCUGUUUGGUGGGACAACUACAUGGUGACCCGUCCAGCUGGGACAGAGGUUACUUGGUCAGAGUUUUGUCAGAGUUUCAAUAAGGCAUAGGUUCCCGAGGGAAUUGUGGCACAAAAGAAGAGAGAGUUCCGUUCUUUGCAGCAAGGAACUAGGACAGUUAUAGAGUAUCUGCAUGAGUUCAACCGCCUCGCACACUACGCUCCUGAGGACGUGCGCACUGAUGCCGAGAGGCAGGAGAAGUUUUUGUCUGGUCUUGAUGAUGAAUUGACCAACCAACUGAUCUCCAAGGAUUAUGAGGACCUUGAGAAGCUUGUGGACAAGGCUAUCCGUCAGGAAGAGCAGUGCAACAAGAUGAAUCGUAAGAGGAAGCCAGCUCAGCUCAGGACUUCCCAGGGGAUCAGUCAGAAGCUUCCUUUCACGAUGGGACAUCAGGGUGGACCUUCCAGCAUGAUUAUCUGGCAGCACCGUCCUUACCACCCGGGUAGCUAUAGCAAGAACUACAACAGUGGCAGUCACAGCAACAGUGAGCAACACAGCCUCAACCCUACUCCAAGUCCACUAAUUAUUCCAGCUCAGUCAGCUCUGCCAGCUUAGCUAGGACAGCCCAAGAAGUUUGGAGAAAAGCCCGAACUCUGCUUCAAUUGUAACGAGCCCGGACACAUGGUACGUACGUGCCUGAAGCCAAGACGUGCCGGACUCAAGUUCGUUCAGGCCCGUGUCAAUCAUGCAUCUGCAGAGGAGGCGCAGUCAGCUCCAGAGGUCAUAUUGGGCACAUUUCCCGUCAACUCGACACCGGCAAUAAUAUUAUUUGAUUAUGGUGCAACUCAUUCCUUCAUUUCCAAGCGUUUUGCUGGUGCACAUGGGUUAUCUUUAGUGAAGCUUAAGAUACCAAUGCGAGUUCAUACUCCUGGAGGUGGCAUGACCACAACUCACUACUGCCCAUCAGUGACAGUUGAAAUUCAAGGGUUGAUUUUUCCAGCCAACCUCAUUCUUCUCGAAUCCAAGGAUCUAGAUGUUAUUCUUGGAAUGGAUUGGCUGACAAGGCACAGAGGAGUGAUUGAUUGUGCUAGCCGCACCAUCAAGUUGACCAAUGCGAAAGGAGAAGUGGUAACCUUCCAGUCUCCAGUGCUGCAGAAGCAAGGGAUCAGUUUAAACCAGGUUGCUGGUGAAGAACAAGAGGUAGCAAUGGAGAAAACCACUAAGAAGUUGGAGGAUAUUCCCGUAGUUAGAGAGUAUCCAUAGGUUUUUCCGGACGAUCUGACAACAAUGUCACCAAAAAGGGAUAUCGAGUUCCGAAUUGACUUGGUACCUGGAACUGCACCGAUCCACAAGUGGCCUUACAGAAUGGGAGCCAACGAGUUGGCGGAAGUCAAGAAGCAAGUUGAUGAGCAGUUACAGAAGGGAUACAUCCGCCCGAGCACGUCGCCUUGGGGUGCUCCGGUUAUCUUUGUGGAAAAGAAAGAUAAAACCAAGAGGAUGUGCACUGACUACCGCGCACUCAACGAGGUUACUAUUAAGAACAAGUACCCUUUGCCAAGGAUUGAUGAUCUGUUUGAUCAGUUGAAAGGAGCUACUGUGUUCUCUAAGAUAGACCUGCGAUUAGGCUAUCGCAAGUUGAGGAUCCAUGAAGAGGAUAUUCCAAAGACAGCAUUCAUUACUCAUUAUGGGUUGUUCGAAUGCACAGUUAUGUCUUUCGGACUCACUAAUGCACCUGCCUUCUUCAUGAAUUUGAUGAACAAGGUGUUUAUGGAAUUUCUGGACAAGUUUGUCGUGGUUUUCAUCGAUGACAUACUUAUCUACUCCAAGUCCGAGGAAGAACAUGAGCAGCAUCUUCGGUUGGUACUUGAAAAGCUAAAAGAGCACCAGCUAUAUGCCAAGUUCAGCAAGUGUGACUUCUGGCUAAAGGAAGUUCAGUUUCUCGGUCACGUCGUAAAUGCUCAAGGAGUGGCCGUUGAUCCAGCAAAUGUGGAGUCAGUUACCAAGUGGACCCCACCAAAGACAGUCACUCAGAUUCGGAGUUUUCUGGGACUUGUGGGCUAUUACCGCCGGUUCAUUGAGAACUUCUCUAAAAUUGCCAAGCCAAUGACACAACUAUUGAAGAAGGAAGAAAAGUUUAUCUGGUCUGCUGAAUGCAAUAGGAGUUUUGAAGAACUCAAACGACGGUUGGUGUCUGCACCAAUUUUAAUUCUGCCUGAUCAGACGAAAGAUUUCCAGGUUUAUUGUGAUGCAUCUCGCUAGGGGCUAGUUUGUGUGUUGAUGCAAGAUGGCAAAGUGGUUUCUUAUGCUUCACGACAGUUGCGUCCUCAUGAAGGCAACUACCCGACCCAUGAUCUGGAAUUGGCCGCGGUUGUUCAUGCUUUAAAGAUCUGGCGGCACUAUCUCAUCGGUAACCGUUGUGAGGUAUAUACAGACCACAAAAGUCUGAAGUACAUCUUCACCCAACCUGAUCUGAAUCUCCGACAGCGAAGAUGGUUGGAGCUAAUCAAAGAUUAUGAUAUGGGAAUACACUACCAUCCCGGCAAGGCUAAUGUGGUAGCAGAUGCCUUGAGCAGGAAGAGCUACUACAAUGUUGCAUGGGUAGAAAAACUAUGUUGUGAGGUUCAACGCGAUUUCGAACAGCUGAACCUUGGUAUAGUUGAGCACGGAUUCGUGGCUGCCCUAGAGGCACAACCCACACUAGUGGAGCAGGUUCGCAUAGCUCAAGCAAGUGAUCCUGGAAUAGCAGAGCUCAAAAAGAACAUGAGAGUUGGAAAAGCCCGAGGUUUCACUAAGGAUGAACACGGAACAAUCUGGAUGGGAGAAAGAUUGUGUGUACCUGAAAACAAGGAAUUAAAAGACUUGAUACUGACAGAAGCUCAUCAAACUCAGUAUUCCAUUCAUCCUGGCAGUACCAAAAUGUACCAAGACCUCAAAGAAAAAUUCUGGUGGGUCAGCGUGAGAAGGGAAAUAGCUGAAUUCGUCGCACUCUGUGACGUCUGUCAGCGUGUGAAGGCAGAACACCAAAGGCCAGCAGGUUUGCUACAGCCCCUUCAGAUUUCAGAAUGUAAGUGGGAAGAAAUAGCAAUGGACUUUAUCACCGGUUUGCCCAGGACGUCAUCGGGGCAUGAUUCUAUUUGGGUAGUUGUUGACCGACUCACCAAAGUGGCUCACUUCAUUCCAGUGCACACUACCUACUCAGGGAAGAAGUUAGCAGAGCUUUAUCUGGCAAGAAUCAUGUGUUUACAUGGUGUACCUAAGAAGAUAGUGUCUGAUCGAGGGAGCCAAUUCACUUCAAAGUUCUGGCAGAAAUUGCAAGAGGAAUUGGGAACCCGUUUGAACUUCAGCACAGCCUACCAUCCACAGACUGAUGGUCAGACCGAGCGAGUCAACCAAAUAUUGGAGGAUAUGUUAAGAGCCUAUGCGCUUGACUUUGGAUGAGAAUGGGACAAAAGCUUGCCGUAUGCGGAGUUCUCGUACAAUAACAGUUACCAGGCUAGUCUGCAAAUGGCACCCUUUGAAGCACUGUAUGGACAAAGGUGUUGUACUCUGCUAUUCUAGGAUCAGACAGGGGAACGCCAGUUGUUUGGGACGGAAGUUUUAAAUGAGGCAAAAGAAAAAGUCAGAGCUGUCAGGGAAAGACUGAGAAUCGCGCAAUCUCGACAGAAAAGAUAUGUAGACAACCGCCAAAGGGAGCUUGCUUUCGAAGCAGGGGACUAUGUGUACCUUCGCGUCACUCCACACCGGGGAGUACACCGCUUCCAAACCAAAGGAAAGUUGGCACCGUGCUUUGUGCGACCAUAUCGGAUUUUGGAACGUAGAGGUGAAGUCGCUUACCAGCUUGAGCUUCCCUCCAACAUGCUUAGCAUUCAUAAUGUGUUCCACGUCUCUCAGUUGAAGAAAUGUUUGAGAGUUCCUGAGGAACAGGCAAGUCCGGAUCACAUUGAAAUUCAGGAAGAUCUGACGUAUGUGGAGAAGCCGACUCGUAUCCUCGAAACUAGUGAGAGAAGGACCAAGAACAAAGUAAUCAGAUUCUGCAAAGUUUAGUGGAGCCACCACUCGGAAGAAGAGGCCACUUGGGAAAGAGAAGAUGAGUUGAAGGCCGCCCAUCCGCACCUCUUCGCCAGCUCUUCCGAAUCUCGGGGUCGAGAUUCCGUUUAAGAUGGGUAGGUUUGUCACGCCCUGAAGUUUUCCCCUUCUUCUUUCCUUAAAAUUUGUUAAAUAAAUCAUCCGAAGAAAUGGUUUGAAUUAACCUAGAGCUAAUUCCCUAAUUAAUAAAUGCAAUUAAUAAUUGGAAUUGGCAUUGUGAGAUUUUUCUUGGGUUCCACAUGUCGCAAUGCAUUAACAGGAUUUUAGCGGAAUUUUCAGAGCCCUAUAAAUAAUUUUUAACCAUUUAAAAUCAUCAAGGUGCAAUUUUAAUCCUAGAAAAAUCCUUUUCCUUUUUCCUUUUUCUUUUCCUUCCUUUUUUCUCUUGAUGGGCCGUCGGCCCAUCUCUCUCUCGUGCUCCCAUCCUUCUUGCUGGGCCGGCCCAAGCCGCCUCCCUCCUCUCCCCGGGUCACCGACAUGUGGGGCCCACCUGUCGGACCCGUCUUCCUCCUCCAACCGGCGGCAACCGCCACUGCUGCCGAAACCGCCCACGCCACCGCCGUUUCCCGCCCUUCUCCGCGCCCCCACUCCGCCUGCACUUCGCGCCCACGUCACCGCCCUCUCCCCUCCCCGGCAUCUCCCGCGCACGCGCGCCCGAUAAUGGGCGGGAUUCGAUUUUGAAUCCCACCCCCUCUCUCUCUCCACCCCCACGUCGCCGGCCAAAUAGAGGGCCACCCCGCCCGUUUCCGCUCCUUCCGCGCCCAUAAAAUCACUCCCCCGAGUCCCCUCUCUCGUUUCCCCCAUUCGCCGUCCUCUCCCACGCCCCCAACCGCGCCUGCGCCGUCACACCGAGCUCCGCCGCCCGCCGCCGACCUCCGGCGGUGCGCCGUCGCUGCUAGGCUCGCCGCCGCGCUGCGCAACCACCGCCGCUACCUCCGCCGCCGCGAGAGCUACCUCGGCCGUCGCUCGCUUGCCGCCAAACGUCGCCGAAGCGCCGCUUCCCUCGCACGCCGGUGAGCUCUCCAUUUCCGCCUGACUCCGGCCGGCCGCUCUAGUCGCCGUGGUCAUCCUCCCCUUCUCCUAACCCGGUCAUCGCCUUUCCCAGGUUGUGCCUGACGCCAUCUGCCAUUGUCCGAAGCGCCGCCGCCGCUUGUCUCUUCCCGCGCCGGUCGCCGUCGCCCCUCCGGUGAGGACCCCUUUUUCUUCCCCUUCCUCUCCUCUCUCGUGCGCGCCGCUUCUCCCCGCAUGCGUGUCGUCGCACUGCGCCGCCGUCCGCGUCGCCGGCCGGUCGCCACCGUGCGCCAUGCCCGGGCUGGCCUUGGUGCCGCCCGUCCCCAGCCGCCCGAUCGGCCCUCGGCCGAUCGUGGCCGUUCAUCCCAUUGCUGGCGUGGCCAGCCACGUGGUGCCACGUGGUACACCACCACCCCGGCCCCGUGGACCCAGUCCACGGUGGACCACCCCCUUUGAGCCGCUGACUCAUGGGCCCCGCCUACCGAGCCACCCCCCCCCUUUCGCUGACGUCAGCCCUGGGGAUUUAUUGCGCAAUAAUUAAUAAAGGCCUUUUUCUUUAUUAGUAAAAACAUAGUUUAUCUUCUAAAAUUCAUAAGUAAUUCAUCCGAGCUCCGUUUAAGUCCAUUCAAGUCUCAGUAAAUUCAUAAAAAUCCAUAGAAUCUAUUAAAAAUGGUUUUGUUCUCUGUUUCAGUAGUCUUAUAGCAUGUUUUGCUUGUGUGCUUUGUUUGUCGCGUAGAUUUCGGCUAUUUCGUUGAUCCGCGGUUUCUCGAAGACGUUGCUGUGGUCUCAUCAGUGCUAGAGUAAGGCAAGUCAUGCAUUACAAUUGAUCAUAUUGUACCCAAUUUACAAAUAUCCCGCAUUUCUAUUAAAUGUUACAUUCUUUUAUAAUGUCAUGUGGGAUGGGUCCUAAUACUCAGCCAUAUAUUGUUUACCUUAUGCCAUUGAUGACUAGGUAUCAAAAUGACUAGAUGUUGGUUUAGGAAAUGCUUAGCCAUGCCUAUCUCAACUAGUACACAAAUGGGGAUCACAUUAUUACAUAGACUUUGACUAUUAGCAUAGCUUUAGAUUAGUGCCACCGAAAUGGUGUUUGUUAAUUAAAAUACACUGAAUGGUGGGCUGUGGGUGCAUGGUUUCGCUGGUCGCACCCAUGGCAAUUAAGGACCGGUUCAUGGGAAACCCUGGGAGACUUACCGUGCUUACCACAAGCGGGAGUGGGUAACUGCUUGAUCUGAAGUAUAGCUCGACCCUUUCCUAGGCACCGGUGGCGAGGGUGGGCGUGAUGGAGUUGGGUCGGUCGGGGUGUCCGGUUGUCCAGCUGCCGGAUUCACCGCGGCGCAAGAGGGGACCGCCCACUGCCUUUUGAGGGGUAGGGGUGAAACCUUAGCGUGGUGUGGAUGGUUAGGGGAGGGUUAUGCGGAGGGUCUUGUCACGAUUUCCCCCCCUUUGCAGUAUCAUGGUGAUACUUCGGGGCAUGGCGACAUGUAUGGAAUCGUGUCUUGUGGGUACAGUUGUACACCUCUGGCCAGAGUAAAACUAUUCGAAUAGCCGUGCCCGCGGUUAUGGGCGAUCAACCAGAUUCACCGUGAUUAGUCUCAACUCUAGCUUAGCUUAAUGAACUGGUGUAGUUCAGGUGGUUGGUUGGGCCUGUUGCAACGUGGUGUAGCGUUGGACAGUGAUUGGUUAAUACUGCUUAAUUACUACAAUUGUUUUACUGCUUUCAACUACUUCUUUUAAAUGACUACUUUAUUGCAAAGGAACCCCUUAGCCUCCUUUGGAUAUAUCCUGCAUCAUACCUCCUCUUCCGGUAUGACUUGCUGAGUACAGUGGGUAAUACUCAGUCUUGCUCUCUUUUCCCCCACACCAGAGCUGAAGAUCUUCAUAGUUGGAGUCGUCUUGUUGAGGUUGGUUUCGUCGCUGCCAUCAAGGGAUGCCUGUGGAGUGGAGUCGCCCCGCUGCAGAAUUCAAGCUUCCAAGUCUAGCUCGUUUUAUCUUUUUCCGCUGCAUUUGUAAUCUUUUCUAUUUUUGUAAGACGUUGAUUUGUAUGUCAACAAUUAUCGUUUGUGUACCCUGGCUGGUCCUAGACAGGGGUUUAAUGCACAUUCAGCUUAGAAAUUCUGGUUCGUGAAUUUCUGGGCGUGACAGAUGCCCUGACAAAAGUGCAAGAAUGUUGUACUGUAAUAAGUGUGGUCCUUUAGGAAGUUACAUUAGUGGGUAAAAAAGGCCAUAUAAUUCGCACUAUUUCAGGAUAUGCCACUCAAUUUGACUGCUUUUAUAAUAUGCAAUCAGAAGCGUGAAUUCCUUCGUUCCAUGCCACUUUUAUCUAUUUCCCGAGUUUCUCAAAUUUCUCAUAUUUUCUUUCCUCUUCCCAACUUGGCCAGACGGAUUUAUCCAUAGGCCCACAUGUCAGGAUAGGAAGAGAGAUAGACUGCUUCUCUCAAGGAAAAAAAUCAAAUCGGUCGAUCCACAUCCUGCCCGACCGCAGUGACGACCUCGCUGUGCCGUUGCUUUGUCCCCCGCCCCACACCUCACUGGCAGCUUCGCGCCUACCCCUCGAACUGGCAUACUACUUGUCGAUGCCGUGGAUGACUGUCGACGCCGCUACGGCAGUGGGCGGCAAGAUGUCGUAGCAGAAGACGGCGACAGUGUCGGCUCCGCCGCCUCCAAAGCCGUGCAACAAUUGGUGGAACGGAACAACGCGGUGGAGGGGAGGCAACGGGGGUAGUAGGCACUACUAGAAAAUGAUUUUUACUAACUCUGGUUCUUAUUUUUCUAGAACCAAAAAAAAACCCCCUCAUAUAACCAUUUGCAAAAAUAUCUAGAGACCCCCUAGAUUUUUGCCCCGCCUAUGAAAAUCAACUAUGGUCGGAGCCUUAAGUGGUCCGCUUGGAAAAAUACGAUUUUCAAAGGUGGGACCUUCAGUGGUCCGCCUGCAAAAUGUGGAGGCGCUAUUAAAGUUUGGCUAAGUCCCACAGGUCCCCAUCCAUCUCUUCUUCUCAUUUCCUCCAGCCUUCCUCCACCUUCGAGCUUCAUGCAGGUCAUGACAACGACGACACCUGGAUUUGUAGUCAGCCGCUAACGACUACAGCGGCUGGACAACUUCAAUGGUGCUUGGAUCCGCCGUUGGUCGGCCUCGGGUGUGCGGGUCUGCCGCUGGCCGACUGCGGGAGCGCGGAUCCGCCAUCGACCAGCCAUGGGAGCCUGGCUCUGCCUGCUUGACUCUUGAAAAUCUAUUCAAAUCAAAUUAGAUAGACAUGUUAGUUUUGGCUUCAUCGGAUCAGAGGAGGUGUGGGGUCCCUACUAUGACAAGCCCCUCGAAUCUAUCAUCGAACCCUUAAGAAUAUUGUGAUGUAUUCUCUAAUCAUUUGCCAUGUUAAUUACUUCAUUGCAUCAAAUCUUCUGCCCCUUUCAACUCCUCACAAGUUCUUUGAAAUCCAUUUUCAAACAUCUCCCUCAAUUGUUCCCAUGAGUGUAGCAAUAAUGUUGGUAUUGUGAAGAGCUAGGACAAAACUAUCUCUUUGAGCACCGUGCGCAAGACUUUUGCAUUUGUGUUGCCAUCUUCACCGGUGGCUUUUAUUGUUGUCUCAUAUACUCUCAAGAAUUCAUUUGCGCCUGUGUUGCUGUUGAGCUUUCUUAUGUUUGAAAGUUUGAAUUUCAUUGGCUAGGGUUUCAUUUGCAAUGCUGGACUUAGAGAGUAUUUUUCAUUGAUUGAUCGAACUCCUCGUGAUUGUACAAACUGUUGCUAUUUCAAAAAUGUUGGCACACAAGGUUGGAACAAUGUGUACUGAUACUAUUGGUGAUAAAGUUGUUUUGCAAAGUUCAAUGUUUUAUACGUUUGAUGUGAGACUAGUUGUGGGUUUUGUUGUGGGAUGGGUUGUAUUGUGAAGCUCGAUUUGUCUUGUUGAUGGAUUAACUGAGCGAUGAUAUUUUGUAUGUUCUAUUGUGAUGUUUGGUUUUGUAUUGGUAUAGCUUGGGUUGGUUGAGGUAUAUUGACUAGUAUUUGUAUUUGGGGUAUUAGGUUGGUUGUAUAAGGUAUUGGGCUGAUGUUCUUUUGAUGUGCAUGAAAGACUGCUUUGCUGACUAUGUUUGGAUUUUGGCUCAUUGAGUUAUUGUGGUUUGAAUGUUGUUGGGUGGGUUGAAAUGGAAUAGAAUGGUUUGGGUUUACAGUGAAUGGUUGUUAUUAGGUUGUUGUAUUCAAAUCAGGAGCCGAAGCACUAUUCAUGUUUGAGUUCAGAAGGUUCAACUGAACAAACUAAAUUGAACUUAGUAGACCAUUUUUCAUUCUGCUAAGAGAUCAAAGGCUUGAUGUCGAUUGGUCAAGAAUGUGUAGCCACAUCAACAUCUGCACUUGCACAAAUCAUGUUUUGUCGUAAGAAGUCUUUGUAUUCUUGUUGCGUUGCUUUGUACCAUGUCGUGUUUAUCAUUAGAGCCCUUUGUUCUUGCACCAUACUAACUAAUGCUUCCAUUCUCAAUGCUAGCACUCCACUUGCCACUUCAGUUGUGACUCUUGCUUCCUCAGCUUUCUGCUCUUCAUCUUUGACAGUUGCACCUUACUCGAAAUCAUUCAUGUUCUCAAAUUCGGCUCCUCUGCUUCUACAACAUUGAAUUCAGGUGACUAAGGUGAUUUUCCGAACACUUCAGCAUAUCUCGCUAUUACCACUUAUCUUCGUUGAGGUCUUGGUUUCAUCUACCUUUCGAGGCCACUCACGCUCCCAACGAACGAUGCCAAUAUAUGCCGUGACAAAAUUUCGUUAACAAGUAGAAGAUAGAGGAGGAAAUAAGGUGACCUUACCUAUCUUGAGUAAUGAAUGUAUCCGAAAGGUAUAUGGGUAUAUUUAGUAUAUCGCUGCUAGCCUUUUUUUUAAGUUCAGAAUGCAUCUGCCUCCUGAUAGGACAAGCUGCCCUUUUACAGGCCAUCCAACCCCCUUUAGGAAGUUACAUUAGUGCCUAGAAAGGACGUCACAUGCAAAGGGUACAGAUGUAUAUUCUGGCCUUUAUGAGGGGACCCAUUUAUCCAAUUGUCGAGCUCAGGGCCACACCUACAAGCUGGUGCCGCUCCUUUUGUCGUGGUCCCUGGAAACACAUGUUUGAGCCGGCUUGAUUCCCCAGACUUAGGCUUGGCUCCUCGAAGUACCUCCUUCAAAACUGUGCCCUAUUGGCUUUCUCGAAUGACUAGGUUUCCAAAUGAUAUUCGAAAACUUCUUGAUUCGAGUGUGUGUGAUGGCUAGCUUGACUCCUGAAUAUAUAUUCAAAUCAAAUAGGACAUACAUGGUAGUUUCGGCUUUCCCUAGAUCGGAGGAGGUGCGGGGUCCCUGCUACAACACAUGUUUGGUGGUCUCAUCCCAAUCUCUAAUCUUUAAAAUUGCAAAUUUAGUCGUUCUAAUUUUAUUAAAUGUACCAUUGAAGGUCCAAGUUUGCCAUGAUUGUAUCCUAGAGUCUAGAGAUGUGGCAUGCCAGGUGUAUUCUCAUUGCAAGGGGUCCUUGGGCAUAGCCAAUUUCGCAAAAAAUCUCUCUUGAUCGAAAUCUUAUUCACAAUUGUUAAUAUUCCCAAAUCCCUUGUAUUGGUGAUCUACGUGUGCCUCAUUUCAUGCCACCAUGCUGUUGUGCUUUUCACCACAUCUGUUGAUCUUCCUCGAAGGUACCUUGUCCCCCUAGUCACCGUCGACGGUUUCCCUUUUCUUUUGUUCGCAGCCGUCUCUCUUUCCUGUGAAUCCAACACACUAAAGUUCCAUGUUGCCAUUCGUCACCCACAAUACUUUGCAGUUGUCUAAAGUUGCUUCUCUUCCUUGAAGCUACCACACAUAACAUAUCCUUGUAUCUGCUUAUACUAUGCACACAACAUUCCCAAAAUGAGUGGCAUGAAUAGUGAAUUCAGCUCAUCAUCAUCAAGAUUGCGGCGGAGGACGGAGGGGUAUGAAACUUCGUUUGAUAUUUUUGUUUUGUCCUAGUUCUGUCUUGGUGAUUGUGAAGAGGAUUUGGAUCCUAAGGGGCUCUGUAUGAAAUUGACCAUGGCCCGUGUACCCCCUUGUAACAUGGCAUCCUACACCACAUAUAGAAUUCAAUGAUCAUGGCAAAUUUGGACAUAUAAUGGCUAUUUAAUUUUUGUUUAAUCCAUCCGUACCGUAUAUUAUCAGAAACCGCACGAAACAAUAGCAAAAGUCAUGCUUUAAUAACAGUCCAUCGGACCCCACCUGAAACUACUUCGUCCAAAUUUUCCAUUUUUUUUUGAAGUUAGCAUAAUUUGUUUAAAUUUUGACCAAAUUUCAUUAAAAUUUCAAAUAAUUUUGAACAAAAAUAUCUGACAGAAACCCAGCGAGUUAAAUCAAAGCGAAUUGACACAUUUAUACAAUUAAUCGCAGAUAAGAUGAAAACAGCAAAACACGAGUUGUGCUCUUUAUGGAUACUUUUUUUCUUUUACCUUUUUAGAUAACCCAUGCUACUACUUCAUUAAGCUGUUUAUAUGGAUAUAAAAACGGGGAUUGGAUUUAAUUUAAUUUGAACGCACUGGCGCCGGGGUAUCCCCUGUUUCCACGCGUAGCCUACUAUACUCUCUAUGAGUAGCUAGCGAGAGAGCGCUGAUGCAUGGUGUCCCUCCUCGCUAUAUAUAUGGGGGCAUUCACUGGCCUCUCCUAUUCCCUCUCCCGACCACCACCACCACUCCCCCAACCCACCGCCUUCGUCGGAGGCAGCUUUGCUUCGCUACCCUGCGCCGAGCUAGCUAGGGAGAGGGGAUCAAUAUACCACCCCGCGCAUCAACCGGAGAGACGUACGAUCGAUCGAAUAGCUAGCUAGCUCUCUAGCUCGGGGAGAGAGAGAGACAAAGAAGCCUCUCUCUUCGCAUGGGAGGAGGGACCAACGGCAACGGCGGCGGAGCGGCGUCAGCUAUGGACGUCUACCUUCCCCGGACCCAAGGCGACGUCGACGACGACGGCAAGGAGAGGAGGACAGGUACAUACUCUUCUCUUCAAGACUUCAAUCUUCUUCUUCUUCCUCCUCUUGCUGAUGAUGAUCACCGGCCAUGCAAUGGAAAAGAUCCUUUUUGUUUUUAUCAUGCAUGGUAAUCGAUCCUCUUUCUGGUCGAUGUUGAUUGGAGAUUCAUUCUGCAUCUGAUAUAUAUCCAGUAAUAAUUGGUGAAAACCUGAAUUGAAAUUGUUGGGACUGAGGCCGUCAGGCUUCGUGAAACGGGGGUCAUUAAAAGCAGAUGCAGAUUCCCCAUGGGAAUUAAACUCGGGCCCCCUCUUCCUCCCUACGAUAUCCGAGCUACUGCUACUCCUUCCUCUAUGUAUUUCUCGCAACAGAUUGGUGGAUUAUCAAAGCUUGCUUUGCGUAGAUGUAGAUGAUCAAAUAAUAAUUAAUGCUACGUUAAUUGCACCAACCUUGCAUUAUCUGCAUGUAAUAAUCUCUGUGUCCAGGUCAUGCAUAUGGUUUGAUCCUAGUUUUACUUUGUUGCACGAUCAGUCGAAUUGGCUAGUAUUGAUUGCCUCCAACUGUAGCUGUGCUCACCAUGAUCCUUUGGAUUUAGAGAGAAUUAAUGAUUCUAUUUUGAAUCUUUUGCUAGCUAAGGAAAAAAAACAAAGAAUUUCUGGCUAUUUGUUGCCUUGCUUAUGCCCCCGCAUGCAUGAAUUGGUUCAGAAUUAAUUUUGGACCGAUGACAAAAAUAGGAACAAAAUUUCACGUUUUUCACUUAUUUAUUACUACUUUUUUUAACCUAUUGAUGUUUGUCUAAUUGUCUGUGAGGAAAUAUUAGUGUUGGUUUAAUUGACCCUGUUAUUAGAACAGAUGGAAUUUGUUAAAUUACACUUACUUGUCCCCUGUCCAUAGUUGGAUGAACAAUACAAGGCAUUAUAAGAGUUUACACAUACUUUGAUUGAACAAUACAACGCAUUAUAUCAGAAAACUAUGCAUUUAGCAAUAAAUUUGCCACAAAACUAUAUUAUAGAUUUACCAUAAUUGAAGUUAUCACAAAAAAUAUAAUUUUAGAGUUCAAAUCUCUCUAGCAUAAUUGAAGUUAUCACAAAAAAUAAUUCACUGUAGAUGUAGUAUUGUACUCCCUCUAUCCCAAAAUAAGUUCAUUUUUCACAUGUCCCACACAUGCCAAUACAAAAUCAAACAGACUAGAAUACUUCUACUCUAUUAAAUUUUAAUACAAUUAUUCUCCGCAUUAUUUACUCACACAAUUUUAUUUCCUAGUUUCACAAGCUCCGAUACGAUAAUUGCUUAAAAAUAAACUUAUUUUGCAACAAAUGAGAGAGCCAAAAAUAAAAUAGUGUAUUUGCUCUAUCUUUUUGUCUUGGGAGAUGAGUAAAGGAGAGAAUAUUGCUAUGGCCAAUCUUAAGCUUAAGGCUAAAACAUUUUAUUCCUAUGCAACAUACAUGUUGUUAUUUGAAUCCUGGAUGAAUAGGGUCUUUAUUUCCUUUGUGGGCUCCAACUUAAAGACCAAGAAGAGGCUAUAUGCAUUGUAGUGAGAUCAAAGAAUACAAGAAUGUGUAUUCUUUGAUCUUGAUUAUUGAGGCUAUAUGCAUUGUAGUGAGGCUAUUGACCUUGAUUAUUGAGGAUGUCAUUGCAAGUUCAGAUAUUUGGACACCAUGCCACAGAGCAUCGCCGCCUAUGCUAUGCAAUAGAGGUCCUUGUGAUUGGGUUGGGUUUUUUGCCCAUAAAAACUGGCACAUCUCCCUAAAGUUGCCUCUUGCAGGGAUAGGCAUAUACUCCACUCCUAGCCAUAGCCUCCUAGGUGUACAGGAGAUCAUGAUCAGCAGGAAAAAGAACGGUCUCCAUGGAAGCCGACGCCGGCGAUGUCACCGAAUCCGGCGGCGGCGGCGGCUGCACCAUGCAUUGACUCCUGCUCAUACAUGAUCAUAUAGCAGUCUAGCUAGUUCAGUUAGCAGCUGCUCUAGCUAGCUAGCUAGCCUUUGAGAUCUUUUGUGCUGGUUUCCUGUACCUUUCUCGUAGAAAGACAUACUCCUGACUUCAGAUACAUUGCACUUGAGAACUUUGAAAAACAUUAUUGAUAUAGUAGUAGAGUUAUGGAUGCAUGACAAUCAGAUUGUGCUUAUGCUUAGUCGAAGAGGAUUUUUAUGGUACAGUAUACUACAAGUAAUGAUCUAACAGUAUAGAUGGUGUAGAUUCAUUUGAUCUUCCUUCAUAUUAGUUUUGCAGUAUAAAUCGGAAAGGGUAUAUUUGUCUUUCCAUCUUUUUGCGUGAGGGUAUUUUUGUAUUUUUGCGUUUCCAGAACCCGCUCGAGAGAGAGUGGCUCAGAUGAAAUCCACUCUAGUCUUAGUCUCUUGCUCGUCUCGUCGUUGAUAGGUCGGCAUGUACGCUAGCUACGUACUCGGUCUGUCCAAAAAUAAAGCGCUAGCACAAACGGACGACGAGAUCCAAAAUAAUUUACUCCCAAUGGAAAUAAAUCUCAACUUCAAAUGAUUUGACAGCCCUUUAUUAAAUUUUUAAAAAUACUAAACUUACCCUUUUAUAUACUGCCCUUUUAUAAAAAUAUGAUGGUAUUUUAUAACUCGCGUAUUUGUAGGAUGCUAUUAUACAGUUUUCUUUUUUUAAAAAAAAUUAUCUUAAACACGCGCUGCGAGUAAAAGUAGUAUAUAUAUAAGUGCAUGGGAAAACAAAAGGAGAUACCGGAUGGGAAGGUCCUUCCGUGUUCAACUCCAAUCCGAUAUUCCAUUGAUCUUUGCUGUUCUAGGUUUUGUCCUGUGGUGAUUCUGUUAUAUAUGCAGCCGGCCGUUUGAUGUCCAAGUCAAGAACUGCGACUGUUUUGUCUGCAUCGAAUUCUUUUGGCAUCAUUGAUCAUCUGUUUUCUUAAUCAAUGUUUCAGGACAUUCUGUUUACAAAAAGGGAGAAAGAAAAGGUUGGCGACAUUGUUGUGUUAAGCUAGCUGCUGUUUGAAUGCUUGUUUGCCUUUGAGAAUUCGAAAAUUCCCCUAAAAUCAAAAACGAGGAAUCUGAUUAUCUGGUAUGCACAAUUUUUUUAAACGACGGUGCAAAGUUCUAUUGAUAGAGCAGGAAUCUGAUAUGAUAUGCACAAUUAACAUACUAGCUCUUAACUUAUGAACCAGCUACUGGUAGAUGAUAGGUCAGGCAAUGAAUUGUAGAUUGUGAAAACUAAAAACUAGUUAUAUAUUAACAGAGCUAACUUAGGUUGUGAAAGAAAGAACGAAAAUAAAAUUUCCAGGCGUAAUAGUUUCGUGCCGGUAGCCUGAAAUUCUAGAAAUUGCAAACCUGGCCUGCAAUUCAAUCGCAUUGUUUUCUGAUGAAUAAUUUGUUCGUUUUAAAUUCUUCUGAAUUUUGAACGGACAGUGCAAAAUAUUCGAUCGAUUUCAAGUGAUGUGUUUUGGGCGCAUAUGAAAUGCAAUUUGCAGGGACGGUGUGGACGGCGACGGCGCACAUAAUCACGGCGGUGAUCGGGUCCGGCGUGCUGUCGCUGGCGUGGGCGAUGGCGCAGCUGGGGUGGGUGGCUGGCCCCAUCACCCUCCUCCUCUUCGCCGCCAUCACCUUCUACACCUGCGGCCUCCUCUCCGACUGCUACCGCGUCGGCGACCCGGCCACCGGCAAGCGCAACUACACCUACACCGACGCCGUCAAGUCCUACCUCGGUGGCUGGCACGUCUGGUUCUGCGGCUUCUGCCAGUACGUCAACAUGUUCGGCACCGGCAUCGGCUACACCAUCACCGCCUCCAUCUCCGCCGCGUAAGCUUAGCCACUCUCUUUUUUUUUUCAAUUUCUUCUUAUUUUUUUAAAAGAAUAAUUUUAAAAAUAUAUCUUUUCAAGACUUAUUUUUAAGAUCUAAACCUUUUGAUCAUGCUAGCCGGAUUAACGUGACAAAAUAACCCUCAUUAUUUGAUUAUGCCGGUCUGGCUGACGUGGUAAGGACAAAACUAUCACGCUCACUACGGGUAUCUGACAGUUGCCACGCCAUGCCAGAUUUUGGAAAUAAGUUUUUAUAAGGUUUAUUUUUUAAAAUAAAAGAAAAUUUAAAAAGUUCAAACAAAAAAAUUCCCUUCCUUCCCGCCAUUGAUGACGUCAUGUUCUUUGCAUCGAGCUUAAUUAACGUACAAUGUCAUGGCGUGGCGCGCGUGUGCAGGGCUAUCAACAAGUCCAACUGCUACCACUGGCGCGGCCAUGGCACGGACUGCAGCCAGAACACGAGCGCCUACAUCAUCGGCUUCGGCGUCCUGCAGGCCCUCUUCUGCCAGCUCCCAAACUUCCACCAGCUCUGGUGGCUGUCCAUCAUCGCCGCCGUCAUGUCCUUCUCGUACGCCGCCAUCGCCGUCGGCUUGUCGCUGGCGCAGACCAUCAUGGACCCGCUGGGGAGGACGACGCUGACGGGCACGGUGGUCGGCGUCGACGUCGACGCCACGCAGAAGGUGUGGCUCACGUUCCAGGCGCUGGGGAACGUCGCCUUCGCCUACUCCUACGCCAUCAUCCUCAUCGAGAUCCAGGACACGCUGCGGUCGCCGCCGCCGGAGAACGCGACGAUGCGGCGCGCCACGGCGGCGGGGAUCUCGACGACCACGGGGUUCUACCUGCUGUGCGGCUGCCUGGGCUACUCGGCGUUCGGGAACGCGGCGCCGGGCAACAUCCUCACCGGCUUCGGCUUCUACGAGCCAUACUGGCUGGUGGACGUGGCCAACGCCUGCAUCGUGGUGCACCUCGUCGGCGGGUUCCAGGUGUUCUGCCAGCCGCUGUUCGCCGCCGUGGAGGGCGGCGUGGCGCGGCGGUGCCCGGGGCUGCUCGGCGGCGGCGCGGGGCGGGCCAGCGGCGUGAACGUGUUCCGGCUUGUGUGGAGGACGGCGUUCGUGGCGGUGAUCACGCUGCUGGCCAUCCUGAUGCCCUUCUUCAACAGCAUCCUGGGAAUCCUGGGGAGCAUCGCGUUCUGGCCGCUCACCGUCUUCUUCCCCGUCGAGAUGUACAUCCGGCAGCGGCAGCUGCCGCGGUUCAGCGCCAAGUGGGUGGCGCUGCAGAGCCUGAGCCUCGUCUGCUUCCUCGUCACCGUCGCCGCCUGCGCCGCCUCCAUCCAGGGCGUCCUCGACUCGCUCAAGACCUACGUGCCCUUCAAGACCAGGUCCUGAUUCGACCUCGCCGUAGUGCGUUAGUGUAUACUCUCGGUUUGAUUCCAUAUGGAUAUGGGGGAAUAAUGAUUUACUACAGUCGUUUUGGACUCUCUGAGGUGCAGCUUUAUCUGAAGAUUUUAUGAGAAGGAUUUAGCUUAAGUGUGGUUCGUAUAAGUAUUAUUAUGGUGUUAACAGCUGGGUAAUUUUAGACGAUAUUAUAAGGGUCAAAUUUAAUGCUCUGCUUAGCCAUAUAGUAAUUCCGAAUAAAGUCCAAAAUUAAGGCAACAUAGAGCUCUGUUGGACACACAAGUUUCAGCAGUGUUUCAGUUCAGGCUGCAGUUUCAGCUUCUACUCAAGAACAGCACAUAUUAACACAAUUUCUCCAGGCAUUACCAAACAUGAAUGAGUUUAAUCAGAAGGAAGCACAAGAAACAUGCCAUGUGCCAUCAGAUAUUCACACGAAACAUACUAGUCCCAACAAGCAAGUCAGGCUGCUCAUUCUACUACUACUAGUUCCUAAGAAUGUCACUCUACCCAUGAUCUUGAUAGACAGACGUGGAAGCCAGCAGCUUCGUGGCGCCAGAUUCAGGGGCACAAUUCUCAACAAUCAACGAGCCUAUUUCCUCUGCUCGAAACUAAAACCUGUAUAAACAUGAACAAGAUACAAUAAGCACCGAAAAAGGUCCAUAUAAAAGUAAUAAGAAAAAUCUAUUGAUGGAAAGGGACAUUGAAAUGCAGGAAUCCUUCAUUUUCACAGUUUUUUUUUUGGCUAGGGCAUUUUACUUACAGGAUGUUCCCUUUGCCUUCAACAAUCAGUUUGAUCUAAAACAUAAGCCCUAACGAUGUAUUAUAAAUAUAUCAUCACUGGGUCUAAAAAACUUCUAACUGGGUGAAUGAAUGUAACUGCUCAUUUUAACAGCUAAUCUUGUUGAAGUGGUGUGCUAGCUCUAGGUCAAAUCCCAUCAUCUGUGGCUUGAAAACACAUGCAGACACCUCUCACGUGUACUCACUCUAAUUGACGCUCUCAGGUAUUAUCAUCUACAUGCACCCAUCUAAUCUACCUGUAAGCUACAGAUAGUGCAUUUGACCCUAGAGAUCAUGCAAGUUUCUCUUUUUUUGCAGAUAGUACGGGGUUAUCAUUUGAAUGGCACUAGCACUUGUCAGCUUGAAACAAGCCAAUCUUUCCAAUGGGCCAACAAGAUUACAGUAACCCUGUAAUGGGCUUGUGGUAACCCCUUACGGAUACUUAGCAGGUCAAUUAGCAAAUUAAGAAUAAAUGAAAUAAAGAUAGGAGAUUAUCUAGUUAGCCAAUGGAUGAGAUUUGUUAGCAAAUUAGAGAUAGAGAUCGGAUUGGUUUCUCUGAUAGUAGACAUUAAUUCCUUGGAUGUAAAGUGUUCUCCCUACAGGCCCUAUGUGGCUAGUAUGUACCCCAUCGGGAAUUAAGCAAAAAACCAUAAAGUUCGGCUAACUUGAUCAGAGUCUCCUGAGGUCCUGGGCUCCUGGCACAACAGGCAAACAUGACGCCAACCAGUGCAAUCCCACCUUUAUCGCGGUCUUUGGACCUUUUACCCUAUCCAUUAAUCAAAGCCCAUAACAAACUUAUCAAAUAAGAUACAUACCCACCCUUACAUAGAUGGGAGAACUUGACCCUUAGGAAACCUAUGUCUCAGAUUAAGGAAAUAGAUAACAAAUAAAUGUAAUCUUAUCUCUGUUGCAACACCCAAUUUGAACAGUACCACGCAUGGACAGUAACCACAUGGUACUGUUCAUGUACAGUACCGGCGGCCCUAGAGAGGUGGACUACUCUUGGGGCCCUGAUGGGCUGCACAAGACACCUUCCUCUCUUUUCAUGGUUGGGUUGGCAACCAACAAUCACAGAAAAAAGAUGCAUGAAAAUGUAGGUACACAAUGCUGCUAAGGCUUAGCUAAAGAAUUUAUAGGUUACUAGCAUAUUUUACGUGCGUUGCAACGGGAUUUUAAUUAAUUAAAGAAAAUUAUCUUUAACCUAUUAUUACCAUCUCUUAAUUGUUGUAUAUGUUUGUUACAGACAUGUGGGCCCUUUGGUCCCACACUAUUCUUUUUCCUUGCUAUAAAGAGUAGAGGGUUAGUGGGAGUGGUUGACAUGUGGGUCCUCUAGCCCCGCAUGUCAUUUUUACUCUAAAAGAAAGUUGGGAGUUGGUGGUGGUGGUGGUUUUUUUUUUGGGGGGGUGGGGGGUGGGGGGGCAGAACAACCCCCACGACUACUCCCUUUUGUAAGGGGUAUAGAUAUGGAUGUAAUGCAAGUAUGUAAGAAUGUUGUUUUCUUCAUUAUUCAUACAAAUAUCCAUCUCUCUGUGCAAAGUUAUGUGAACGCAAUGUAACAAUGUAAGACUGUUGUCUUCUUCAUUAUUCAUACGAAUAUCCAUCUUUCUGAUAAAAUCUUAUAUAUUGUCAAAAUUUAUGAAUGGAAACAAGCAAGAUUGCAGAUUGGUCGACUUACCUCCAGAAGCCCAUGAGCUUAUCCGUUGGAUGAUAAUUUUCUCGGAUGGUAUGCCACAAGCACUUAGGACAUGUAAAACUUGUUGAACCAUCUCAUCCUCACAGUAUUUAAUUUCAACUAACUUGAGAUGCUUUGACACCAAGAAUUUUUCAUUCUGAUUUUUGUUCGUGCUACCUCUUUUGACCAUAGUACGUUGGCUCUGUAGCAAACAAAGUAAUUUUAAAAUUGAAUCAAUCAACUAUACAAGAAAACUCUAAUAAAACAAAGCUAUACUAAUUACAUGUAAUCUUUCUUACCUUCCGAAGUUGAAGAGUAAGUUUCUCUAGAACCGGUGAGUGUUGGAGGAAGUAAAUUAGUGCGCUGGAGUCAGCAGCCAUACACCAUUCAUUGAGCAACAGUGUUUUCAGCUUGUUAAAUGUAGGGCAACAUCUAAAAUCCCUUCUGAAAAUGAACUGGACAAUGCACAAAUUGAUGAGAAUAAAUUCAAGGUCUAACUUCAUAAUAGCAGAUUUGGAAAUACUGGAUUGAACAGGAGCUGUGUGUAGGGGUUUUUUUAUAUUUCAAGUAAUUAUUAGGUAGAAGAAGAUGCAGAGAUUUAUAACCUGUACUUGGUUUUGCUAUCUUCUGAUGAACAAGACAUAGUAAACAAGAACAUGAUAUACCAGGUAUUGAAAAUUAACAUGGAUAACUAGUUAAGCUCUGCUAGUCACAGUUUAAUAUAGUAUGAUGUCAGAAACAACUGUAAAGGAUGUUUACAUGUUAAUAUAAUGAUAAUCCGCAAUUGUUAAUUGGCAACAAACAGGCAAUACACUUAGAUAGCUUGUUUUGUAGAAAGCUUAAUGUUCUCUUGGAUGGAUAAGAAAAGUCAACAAGAUGUAGCUGACAACAAAAAACACUAGGAGUUCUUAUAGGGCGGCUCAAGCGUACCACUCCGGCACCACUUAUCAACUCUAAUUGGAUGGCAUCUGAUAAACCAUUGAGAAGCACAGUGCCAUUGCCCUUAACUGUACUGUGAUGGCAUCCAGUAUAAUCGGGACCAAAUUCGCCGUAAUAGUAGCAGUCACAAGAAUCAGCACAGUGUUCACCAAACCUGAUAAAUGCCGAUGCCAAGGAAGGCAUGCUCAUGAGCACUGGAGUGUACAAGGUAAAAUCGGUAAUCUCCAAGGAAAUGAGAUUUGGGCAAGAAAUGCGAGUGCGAUUUCGGAAAAAAUCACAUCCUUCGAUUCUCAGACGUCUUAAUGAUUCUGAUAAGAUCUGCUUUACUUUGUCUUUGAUGAUGCAACCUCCCAGCUCCAACUCCUCCAACUCCCUGCAGCUAGAGAAAUCAAGGGAGAAGGCCCCCAACUCCACGCUGAAAAGUUCUAAUCUCUUCAAACGCUGGGCUUUGAGAGGCGCACCAAAUAGACGGGUGUGCGCUUCAACAGAAACACGAAGCACCCGAACUUGGCACGAUACAGCAUACCGGAUCCACUGUCUGGCGUUCUCCCCGAACACCUCACAACCGUCUCCCUCGUCAAAGCAUGUGAUGUCGCAUUCAUGUAGAGCCAACCGGUUGCGCCGGAGCAGAAAGUUGGUGACGAAAUCACUCAGGUGCUGGACGUCCCGGCAAUCAUCGAACGCGUAGAUGCGCAGGGCGGGCACGGACUUCCACUGGUGGCGCCAGCGGCGGGAGAGCACGCACGUCCGCACCACGUCGCGGGAGGGCAGGAAGGAGAGCGCCCGCUGGAGGACCUCGUCCGGAAGGGCGCUGAUGCGGUCCUCGCCACCGCCAUCCGUGGUGGCGACCGCCGCCGCCUUGCACUUCUUCCGGUCAGCCAUUUUGUCGAACAAGCGGCGGGCGCCGGGGCAAGCUAGGGAUAGAACGAGUUUGAGCCAAGCGAGAACCGGGCAAAUCUAGGAAACCAAAAAUACUGCACAAGAAGUACAGUGCUGAGCUCACCUCACCCCAGCGGGACUCGAUCGGAGGCGGCCAACCUGCCGCGGCGGCGGCGGCGGCGGCGCAGAAGGCGGUAGCCCUCCCCUUCUCCGUCGGACUCGAGGGUAGCUUCUCGUUAGUGGUAGUGGGAGCCUGUCUGCCUGUGGUCUUUAUGGGCUAAAUCACAACGCAGAAAACGAAUCUUGGGCUGGGUUUUGGGUAUGGCCCUAGAAUCGGAGCCCACUUAGUCAUCAAGGUCCUUUUUACGGAAGGAAUAAGUUCACCAGAGGUCCCUCAAUUUAAUAGCGAGAUUUUUAACGUCCCUUAACCACAAAACCAGAAAUCUUCACCCCUAAACUAUACAAAACCGUUUACUCAACGUCCCUAGGUAGUAUAUAUGGGUGGUUUUGCUGAUGUGGCAUCCUAGUCAAAAAAAAAUAAAAAAGUAUGUGGGGCCCACAUGUCAGCUGCACAUUUCAUUCCCUUCUCUUCUCUUCUCUUCUCCUUCUCUUCUCUCUUCUCUCUUCUCUCUUCUCUUCUUCUUCUCCUUCAGUGAGGGAGGCCGACAGUCGGCGGGCGGAGCGGCGAUGGGAGGGCGGCAGGCGAGCGCAACGAUGGGCGGCGGCGGGCCCAUGUGGCAGCGGAGCGACGACGGGCGAGCGCGGUGGGCAGAGUAGCGCAGGAUGCAGGCAGAGCGGCGAUGGGCGGCGGUGGGCGGAGAGGCGCCGCCCUCCGCCCCGCUCGUUACUCCCGCCGUCCUGGCCGCCUCUCUCCCCUAAUCCGCGCGCUGCCUGCCGCCGCGCUCGCCUCCUCUCCCCCUCUCCGCGCCGCCCUUCGCCCCGUCUGCCACUCCUGCCGUCCCGGCCGCCUCUCUCCCCCUCUCCGCGCCGCCUGCCACCGCGCCCGCCUCCUCUCCCCAUCUCCAUGCCGCCCACCGCCGCACCGGCCCCCUCUCCCGCUUCUUCCCCACACGCCGCCGUGCCCGCAUCUGCCGCCCGCAUUCGUUAGGGAAAUCGCUGCAAAGGACGAAGACGACGCCGAUGCCGCACGUGAACGGGAGCAAGGUCGCCGCCCGCCUCACUUGCCUUUUCCGUUGCUCCUCGCCGCCCUAGCGCGCUCGCCCACCGCGGGCCCGUCGCGGCUCCGCCCGCUGGCCGUCGGCCUCCCUCAUUGAAGAAGAAGAGAAGAGAGGAGAGAAAAGAGGCGAUGUCAGGGCAGACGACCGCGGAGGUGGAGAAGAGGGAGAGGGCCUCCCGGAGGCGGCCGUGGCGGGAGUGCGCGGAGAGGAUGGCGGUGUAGGACGAGAAGGCGAGGGAGGGAGAAAGGGUCGACGGGGAAAGCGCGCCGCUCGCCGGCGGCAGGGCCCGAGGUUGAGCACCUGGCGCGUUCGAACAUCUCCGCGCCCGAGCUCGCCAUCGCGCCGGCCACCACAUCUCCUCCUUUCCCGCCGCUGUCGUCACGCUGACUACCUCUCUCUCCCUCUCCUGCCGCCGCCGUCCACGCUCCGCCGCCGGCCACCUCUCUCACCCUCUGUCGCCGCGCCUACUCGAGAGAACCCGGAGAGGAGAAGAGAAAAAGAAAAAAAAGGAGAAAUGUGGGACCCACACCAUUGUCUCACUUACAUGUGGGCCCCACAUAUUAAUUUUAUUUAUUUUUGCUGACUAGGAUGCCACGUCAGCGAUAACCACGCAUAUAUACUGCCUAGGGACCUUGAGUGAACGGUUUUGUAUAGAUUAGGGGUGGAGAUUUCUGGUUUUGUGGUUAAGGGACGUCAAAAAAUCUUGCUGUUAAGUUGAGGGACCUCCGGUGAACUUAUUCCUUUACAGAAUAAUUAACUAUUUCCCACUCUUACAAGCCAUUUUUACCUUGGAAAAACUCCAUUUUACGCACUUCAACUCUUCGCUUGGUCUAAAAUUCGUCUUUAAACAUGAAAACUGGGUAUUUAACAAUCCCAAACUACUAAAACCGGACACUUUACCCAAAGCUAGAUGCCAUCUCUACAAAUAAUCCAUGCAUGUUAGCACAGAGAGGAGGGGGGUCCCACCUAUCAGCCUUACCCUCUCUUCUUCUCCCCCUCUGUCUCUCUCUCUCUUUCCUUCAUCUCUAAUAAGCUCGGCGGAGUAGUUGAAGGUACUGGCGAGCUCUCUCCAUCCCGGCCUCCAUAGCUCUCACUCUCUCCACCCCUAUGAGCUUUCUCCCUCUGCUUUCGCGCCGUAGAUUGGCAUUGCUCCACGGCAUAUGGCAAUGGUGGGUGAAGAUAUGCGGCGGUCAGUGGAUGAGGUAAAGGUGGUGACGCACAGUCGUGGAGGGGGUCCUGUAGCCACGACGGAGAGAAGGUCCAAUAAUGCUGGAGAACAGAAUGGAAAGGUUGGUGACGAUGUCGUGGUGGCACAAAUCUGGUGCUAGUCCUCUUUGGCAGCAACAACAGCUAGAAGUAGUGAAGGGGCGAGGAGCUCAUUGUCGACUACCUAGCUAGAGAGAUGGAGCUCGCCAAAGCGCCUUCACUACUGCCCAAGCUGAUCAAGGCUCAGGAGUGAAGAAACUAGGGGAUGCUAAAGGACGCGGAUUUUAAUGGUGACACCACCACCAUCCGCCUUGCUCCUCCUCCUUGAGCUGCUCUCUUCACCGAGCAGCCCCUUCUCUGAGUGGCGGCUAGCCACAAAACUCGUUGUGCCGCCCACUGUCCACCAUAACAUUGUGCUACCCCUCUCCUCCUUCCUCCCUCCACUGAUGAGGACAUGGAGCCCGCCCCCUUUGCCAAGCUCGGGAAAGAUGGGGUUAGCGGCAAGCUCGACAUGAUUGGGGUGGCGAGAAUUCCAUGCUCCAUCGCUACCGCUCUCCUCAUCGAGCUCAGAGAGGUCAACUUCAAGCCAAGCUUGAGGAGGUUACCGUUGCCACUCUCUUGUUCGAGCCCAGCGCGUGCAGUGAGGUCCCCGACAAGUUUGUUGUUGGUAGAGAUGGUAAUGGGGUGUGUACCCAUUAGGUUCAUUCAGCCCAUAGUUGCACCCCGUGUAAACUAAAUAUGCCCAUUUCAACAACCACAACCACUGUCGGCCAGGUGCAGGAUUUCUCCGUACCUGCACUCGUGUGGGUAAUGGGUACCCAUACUGUAACACUGGAGAGGAACAGGGAGAGGAUAGGAUUGAGAGGGGCGCAAACACAACAUUGGGGAUGGGAACAUGAGAUUAUAGAUUGAGAGCAGGGAAAGGAUAGGAUUUUGAGCCUCGAGCUGAAAACGCAAGUUAUGUGUGCUCGGCGUUUGGUGUUAGCUUGCGUGCUUGUGUCCUGCCCAACACCCCGGACGGGUGGAUCCUGACCAACUCCUUGGCGUGACGUGAUCUUGGUGCGCGACAUUAGAGGGUAGCACACUCCCUAGCUGCCUUCGUGAGAUAUGCCCGUGCGUGCAGCGGUCUUGGUCCAUGAAGGUCUAGUGAAGGGAUGAUGAGAUGGGUGGGAAGAGCACGUCCCUAGCUGCUGCCAUUAGAUACGCCCAUGCAUGCGAUGGAGCGGGCAAGGGUGGGAAGAGGUAGGGACUGGGAAGGGGUGGGGAGAUUCUAUACUUAGGGUUUAUUGGUUGUAUGGCAUUGGGCCACUACUACACAUAUGUGCUAGGCCUACAUGUAUUUUUGACCCACGUUUUUGGAUAGUGAACGUUUUAAACACGACUCGCUUGAUGGAUGAUAUUUAUGCCCAUUAGUAGACUCAUUGGUGAGGUUUAUGCCCAUUUGUAGCUUAUAAUGGAGUAAAACCCAGGGACUUAGGUCAUGGGACCAUUACCAUCUCUAGUCAUUAAGGAGUGAGAUUGAGAUAGGAGGAAGAGAGUGAGGGAAGAGGGAGCAACACCGACAUGUCAUGCUGUAAUUUUAUUUGAUUUAUUGACUUAUUUGAUAGCCACAUCAACGCUACGUAGACAAAACACAUGCUGAAAAAACGCUAAGGGGUAAAGUAAAUGGGAUUAAAAGUUUAAGGGUGUGUUAUAGAGUUCAAAGGGUUUGUUUUAGACAAGAAGUAUGUAGGCUUAACAUGGUUCGACAAGAACCACUGUGUGUGUGAACUGAAUUUAAUUUCAUUUAACAUUUUUAACUUUAAAAGUAGACUCUUCUCUAAAAGUUAUUUUCAAAACUAGUGACAAAACAACGUUGUCAUGCCAUCCAUAGUGGACACGAGCCAACAUUGUUAAUGUUUUGCUAUGUUGACCUUGCUAACAUUGCAAAAGCCAGUGUCGGUUGGUGACAUGACGAAAUAACGCUGUCACGUCGCGAGAAGGCUAACAUGGAUUUAUCGAUUUAUAUUCUGAAACACGUUAGAUACUUAUGAGUAUGAUACGUUAAUCAUACUCGUAAAUAUUUUUAUCAUGCACUUUAUUAAAAAAAAUAAGUUGUCAAAUUUUGAAGAUGAGCAGUAUCCGUUUAUAAGUAUCUAAUUAAACUCUAAAGACGAAGGAAGUAGUAUAUUACUAGUAUAUAUUAUACUAUAUAUAAAUCCCCCAUAUAAAAUUCUUAAGCCUAACACGCUAUAUAUAGUCUCAAACCAUUCAAAACAUGCAAUGUUCGCGCGCUUUGUGGCGAGUGGACGAAGGGGUCGUCGCGCGCGCCCCCGCCCAUGGCGCCAAGAAACGAGGCCCGCCGCUCGCGCGCCCAUAAAAUCGCACCGCUGCCAUGGACCCUCACCUCCUCCCCCUCCACGCCAUCCCCGACACCGAUCGAGAGAGAGAGAUCGCACCGAUCGACGUACGGUACGAGACGACCAUGGCGCGUCCUCGCUUCGCCACCACGGCGCCAUUGUUGGCGCUCGCCGUCCUCGCCGCCGUGGUGUCCGUCGCCGUCGCCACCGCUCCCGCCGGCAAGGACCCCGGCGGCUUCGUCGUCACCGGGCGCGUCUACUGCGACCCCUGCCGCGCCGGCUUCGAGACCAACGUCUCCAAAAGCAUCCCAGGUGCGUAGAGAUCGAAUCGAAUCGAAGAAGCAAUAAGAAGGCAGGUGCAGGCGAGGUGACUGAGGAAAUGCGUGCGUGCGUGCGUAGGGGCGACGGUGUCGGUGGAGUGCAGGCACUACGGGGCGGGGAGGGAGAGCCUGAAGGCGGAGGCGACGACGGACGAGAAGGGGUGGUACAAGGUGGAGAUCGACCAGGACCACCAGGAGGAGAUCUGCGAGGUGGUGCUGGACAAGAGCAGCGACCCGGCGUGCUCCGAGACGGAGAAGACCCGCGACCGGUCCCGCGUCCCGCUCACCAGCAACAACGGCCUCAAGCAGAACGGCAUCCGCUACGCCAACCCCAUCGCCUUCUUCCGCAAGGAGCCCCUCGCCGACUGCGGCUCCAUCCUCCAGAAGUACGACCUCAAGGACGCCCCCGAGACCCCAUGAUCAUCAUCAUAUAUAUGUUUCUCCUUAGCAGUGCAUCAAACGUUCCUUCAAAUUUGAGCCUCUCCGAAGCUCAAGAUGGAGCCGCCGCCGCCCGUGUAGAAGUAAAUUAAUCUACGAUUGCAGCAUGCAAUAACGGAGUUUACAUUGCCGAUCGAUCUGUUUUGUACGUACCUAAGUAAUUUGGAGACGCUGAUGUGAUUCUUUGUUCAUUCAUCAAGAGUCUUUGUGUGUGAUUGUACCCUCCUCCUCUUGUUGCUCUGUAAUUACCUACUCCACUAUUACUAAGUACUUGUUGAUCUGCGGGGGGCGCCUAUAUACAUUGCUGUAACUGUGUGACACACAUUAAUUACUCCAUCCAUUUCAUACUAUAAGGUCCUGUUUGUUUCAACUUAUGAUUAUUAUAAUCUACAUUAUUAAGCCAUAUUACUAUAAGCUGGAUUAUAAUAAACUGUCAUAGAAUAAGCUGUGAGUUGUUUGUUUGUCUGGAUUAUUGAAGGCAUGGAUUAUUGGGUUUGAAUGGCUAAAGUCUAUAAUGCCCUCAGCUAUCUGUUCGGUUGAUGGCAUAGGUGGGUAAUUUUUCUCAAGUAUGUAGGGGUAGUGGGUCUUUAGCCACUCAAUAAUCUGAAAAAAGCUCCUCUAGAGUAGCUUAUCAGAUUAUAAUAAUCUGGCUUAUAGAUUAUAAUAAUCUACUUGUUUGUUUCAGCUUACUCCUAAUAAGCUAGAUUAUAAUAAUCCUAAGCUGAAUCAAACAGGGCCUAAGUCGUUUUGUUUUUUUUUAAGUCACUAAGUUCGCUUAAAAAUAUAGUAACAUUCAAAAAAACAAUUUUGCUUUUAAUUAAACUAAUUUGGUGUUGUAGAUGGUGAUAAUUUUUUCUACGCUAGAUCAAAAGAAAAACGGAGGCAUUACCAAUUUCGAUUUGAGUAAGAAUGUAAGAUUGAUAUGGGAAUGGAUGUGAGGAGCCAAAGACGACAAUGCCAUCACCAAAACAUGCAUAUCCGAGAACUUGAUCGUGCAAGUUCAAGUUGCAUCUCAAACACGGAUUUUUGUUUUAUCAAAUUUAUAGAAGAGAAAUCAAGGGAGGAUUGGAGUCCCCUAACUCGACAUGAGAAGUCGUCUUUACCACAGGUAUCAGCAUGCAAGCAUCCGACUAGGGACGAUACAGCGUACUGGAUAUACACCGACAGAGGUUCGAUCCGGAACGCCUCAAGCUAGCUGCUGUCCUGCAACUCCUCAUCGUCAUCGCAUUCGAUCUCGCAUUCGUCCAGGGGUAACGGGCCGGCUGCGGUGGAGCAUGCAGAAAUUUGUCGACGAAUUCAGGUGGUGGAGGUGCACGCGUCCGGGAGCGCGCGGGAGGGCGCUGAUGCGGUCCUCACCGUCAUCCGUGCGCCGCAGGGGCAGCUGGGGGCCGGGGUUAUAGAUGGCCAUAAGGCCCAAAGCCCAAAGGCCCGGCCCACGGCACGAUAUUUUGGCCCGACCCAAGCAUGGCACGCCCUGACUUGGGUCGGACCUGUGCCGGCCCGGCCCGACCGCCGGGCUGUGCCUGGGCCUCCCGCGACCAGCACGUUGGGCUAGCAGGCCAGGCCCGGCACACAAAGUAUAGGGACUAAAAAUAGACAUCUUAAUAUCAUAGUCCAAAGAAUAGAGACCUAAAAUAGACUUAUUUUAUCUAUUUAUAUUCACAGCCCAAAGAAGAGGAAGGGAAAAUAGACUUUUUUAGCUAAGCAUAUGUCACAGCCCAAGAGGAAGGAGAAAAUUAGACUUAUUAUAUGGACAGGCACGAUCAGCCGUCAUGCAUUUGGGCCGGCCCGGCACGGCCCGAGUCGUGUUGGGCCGCGCCUGGGGCAUGUGUGCGGCCCGUGGGCUGGCACGGCAUGGCCUGGUGUGUUGGUCGGGCUGUGCCAGCCCGACUACCCUCGGCCUAGACACGGCUGAGUUUGGGCUGUGCCGGGCCAUGCUGCCCGUUUGGCCAUCUAUAGCCGAGGUAGCGCGAGAUGAAUACGUGCAGUCAACAUCUGAGCAAAUCGGAGGGGGGGACGGCUGAUACGCGAUUAGCCGCGGGGGGGGGGGGGGGGGUCAGUUGCCCCCUCCUCUAGUCUCUCUGUAUCUAAUCUACUACUUCUAUACGUAUGUAUAUACUAUAUAUACACACGUAUGUGUUAUAUAGGUAUAUACAUACGUAUAUAUACAUAUAAAUAUAUUUUUAAUGUAUAAAAAAUAUAUACCCAUAUACAAAGGUUAUAUACGAUUUAUACAAAGUUUAUAUAGGACAUAUAAAACUUUGUAUACGAUAAAUACAAACUUUAUAUACAUACAUAUUCGAAACUCGCUCUCCCUCCUCACCCGCGCGGCGCAUCCGCCGCCCCCUCUCUGCGCGCGACACGUGUCCAGUCACGCGCCUCCCCGCGCGACUGAUCGCCAACUAGCCUUCUCGUAUCGGGGGCGCUGUGCUGCAGGUGGAAGAAGACGAAGAGUGGUUUACAUGGGCUAAAUCAAGAUGAAGCUCGGAGGAGACCGCAUGCGUGUGGGCUUCGCAUGGGCUGACUAAAACGCCGGAGCAGAACAGUAGUUUGCCAGUAAAACGACAGAAAAGAUCCUGGUUGUGAACCGGUCAAAGAUGCCAGAUUUUCUAACUGGCACCUAGCACGCAGCACUUCUUCAUCAGUGCUGUUGUAGAACCAAAACCUAUCAUAAUUUAUAUAUACCGGUUUUAGUCAAAAGCCGACACGUAUAAGAAUGAACGAGCCAAAAAAAAAACCAGCUCGGCUCGAAUCCAGUCGGCUUUGAGCACAUCAAGAACAUCAAGAACAUCAAGAGCAUCAUUCAAGAAUACAUAAAGAACACGUACACCAUUCAAGAACAUCAUUCUCCACCAUCGCCGUCGUCGGAUGGAGAGGAGGAUGCCACCGCCUUCUCCACCACCGCCACCGCUGCCACGGGAAGCCGCUAUUGCCCAAUGGAGAAGGGGGAGGGGGCGCGUGACUCCCUCCCGCUGCCUCCCCUCCCGCCAGAUAGACGGCGGGAAGGCGCCGCCGCCACCGCGUCCCAUCCCACCAGAUCUGGUGGAGGGGAGGGCGCUGGCGCCGCCGCCACCGCCCCUCCCGUUGACAACCCUCCCACCAGAUUCUGGUGGAGGGGAGGGCGUGCCGGCCAGCUACCGCCGGUCGUGCCGCGCCUCUGCCGGCGCCAAGGCCACGGCGACCUCCAUCCUCGCGCCGCAGACGCCUCCUUUGCGUCACCGAUGUCUCCUUCUUCCUCGUGCAUAGCAGCGCAACGCCGCCACCGUGGCAACCUCCACCGCUGCCAGCCUCACCUCCUCGCUCGCACCGCGCCGUGCUCUGUCGUCGCUGCCUGUGCCGCCCAGCCGCAGCCGCGCCAGUGCCGCCGCCACCGCACAAACUCUGCAUGCGCCUCCGUCGUCCGCCGAUGCCGCGGGUUUCCGCCGCGCUCCUCCGGCGUCGGCCACCUCCGCCCGCCGGCCACAGCUGUUGCGCCCCUCGCCUCAACCGUCCGUCGUCGCAGUGGACCGUUGCCGGCCAGAUCCGCGCCUGGGUGGGCAAGAUUCACCACCGGUGCGUCCAGAUCCGUUGCCCCAUCGCCCCGACGCCCGCCGUGGCACGGCCUUACGACCGGCACGCGCCACUCCGCCUCCCACACCGAGGGAGAGCUCCGCCGCCGGGAUGUUCUCCCUGCCGCCACGUUUCCGGCCGGCCGCGCGGUUUCCGGCGGCGGACUCCGACGGCGGCAAGGCAGCUAGAGGAGGAUGGAGGUGGCGGCGUGGGCAGCUAGGGUUUCGCUCGAGAGCCACCCGCGUGAGGUUGAGGGAGGUCAAUCCGCCGAACAACCUGUUUUUGACUCAGGAGUCUAAUCCACUGCGUUCUUUUGAUUUAAAAUUAACUAUUCAACCAUCAUAUCUUUACCUACCGGCACUAUGCAACUAUAUAUGCAAAUGCUGAUUGUUUACUUUGACCGCGGUCAAUUCAGGUACGUAAGUUGGUCGCCCAAGUACUAACUAUUGGGCUUUAGAUGCUGUUCGGUUAGAGACUAAUCUUUGCCACAACUCAAUUUAUCAUUAGUGUAGUAAGCCACAGAAAGUUUGGUCAAUAAGUAUGGCAAACUUUAAAUUAAAAAAUUAGAGUAUAACCUAAGUCAAUAUAUUGUAAUAAAUUGUGGUUUAACUCAACCGUGACAAAAGAAAAAAAAACCUAGCUAGCCCCCUAAAAGAUUGAUACGCUGCCUAAAAUUUAACGACAAACUUCGGCUGGCAACUAAAUAGCCCCUCAGUCUUCCACCGAGCAUCAUGUCUAGUUCUCUUCUCUCCAAAGCUGCAACUAUCUAGCUAGGUGGUGAUGGGUAAUUAACUUGGUACGGCCUCUAAUUAAGAACCGUAAUUAAUUAACUUGGUUCGGAAACACUUCAUGCAAUUUUCAAGGCAAUAUAUUAGCUCCGAUUUUAGACACAAUUACAAAGGUGUUAUGAAAACUGAGAGCUUCUAAAAGUUGCAUGUCGUAAACUUGAGACGACGGUUAUGCAACUUUUUAUCAAUUAUGGAUGGAGAUUCACAAAUAAACUUCAAUAAAUAUGUACUCCUUAUCCUAUAUGGAUUAUUUUUCUUCUUAAAUUGGUGUCCUCAUUUUUUUUUAACUUCACUCGUUUUAGAGUGUUACUUUAUAAUAAUUGAAUGUAGCUCUUUUGAGUAAAGGCUGUGAUGUUCUAUUCCAUUAUGAAUAUCGAACCGUUCAAAAUCUACACGAACUAAGCACGAUCAUGGGCAAGUAUAUCGGCACUAUCUCUCAACGUGGAUCCUGCCUACCCUACCAUAUAUAUGCUUGAAUGAGUCAUCCAUACGUACUGACCCUGAUCAUGAGUCCAUGACAUGCGUAGUAUCAGAUAUCAGUCGUUGUGUCACCUCAUGAGACUAAUUCUAUGACCUAUCUAGUUUGGUGCAUAUAUGCUAUUAUCUACCUAUCAACUGUAUCUCAUGAUGUUUGAUUGAUGGUUAAAGUAAAACCUCACUAUAGCCAAGGUGUGAAGUGCCACAAUAUACCUUAGACAAACUUCGUCUCUGACAUGUAGGGUCAAAUGGUUCAAAACUAUAACUAAGCUACAUCUAUUUUGCAUGAUUCAGAAAUUUCCUUAAGAAAUUGGCAUGCCAAGUUUAGCCUCCGUAGUUUUCUAAACUUCAGCUUUUUAAUUUGAUUUUUCUUACUUCCCCUAACAUAAGCUAGUAUGGCUGAGCAUGUUGUGUAACUAUAACUCUUUUCUUCUAAUAUAUUGGCGUGCAUACAAUCCUUUUGCGCGUUCGCGAAAAAAAUUGACAUGCCAAAGAUUUGGCUAGGUAAAUUGAGUCAUCUAACAAACCAAAUAGCCCCUUCACUGUUUCAAUUGCGUUCUAUGCAUUUACUAUUUCAAUUGCGUUCCUUGGCUAUAUAUAUAGUGUUUUGAGUGAUGAUUAGGGUAGUAACACGUACGUAGUUACGUCCAAAUUAAAAGAAAUGGAAGUGCUGUGUUGUUCUCACCGUACCGGACUCUUUUUUUUUUCAUACCAGUUCGAUUUUGCGAUGAUGUAGACUUCUCCUGAAAGUGAUUUUCUUGUCCAUGUAAAAUUAAGGCAAAAUUUACGCUUUUGCUCAAAGACACAGGAAGAAUACGUUUCUGCUGGAGGUCACCGUAAAAAAGUUAUAAUUAGUUACUCGACGCUCACUGGUGGAGAGAUACUUUGUAGUCCCGGUUGGUAACCUUUUGUAGUCCCGGUUUUUUAACCAGGACUACGAAUCUGGGACUAAAGAUAUUCCCAGUUCAAAUAACCGGGACUAAAAAUCGAUCUUUAGUCCCAGUUGGUAACACCAACCGGGAUUAAAGAUGGAGCCAUCUUUUAGUCCCGGUUGGUAAAGAUCUUUUUUCAUUUUUUUCUCUUUUUCGUUGUUUUUAACAUUGAAUAUUGAUUUCACCCCAUCCCGAAAUCAUACCAAGAAAUCCCAAAUCCAAAUCAUCACAGAUCACAGAACAUCACCAAAUCCUCAAAUAGAUCAUCUCCAAAUACAUUACAAACUCUUGAAAAAAUUACAUCACAACUUCUAAAAAAUUCAUCACAAAUACAUCACAGAUUCACAUCACACACAAAUCAAAUACAUCACAGGAUCAUACAAUAAAUCAUAAAUUGUAAAAAAAAAGCCGGCCGGCCAUUGCCACCUCCCCUCUUCCCCUCCGCGUCAGCCGGCCGCCGCCGCGUGGCCCUCCGCACCGCCUCCCGCCGCCACCGCGCCGCUCGGCCGGCCCGCCCUCCUCCUCAUGCCGCUCCGCCUUCUUCUUCGAUGUGAAGGAAAAAGGAAAGAGAAGGCUUGGAGUUAGAGAUAAGGAAAGAGAGGAAAAAUGAGAUAGAUGGAGGAGUUUAUUGUGUGGACGGGAAAAGAGGAUAAGUACUAGGGAUUAUAUAGUGCGUUUUGAUUUUUAUUCCCGGUUAGUAACAUCAACCGGGACUAAAUUUAGGUUUUUAGUCAUGGUUGGUAUUACUAACCGGAACUAACGAUCCUAGGGCCUGACAUGGAAUCAACCGGGACUACCAACCGGGACUAAAGAUGAUUUUUAGUCCCGGUUGGUAACAACAACCGGGACUAAAAAUCAUUUUUAGUCCCGGUUUUUAAUGGAACCAGGACUAUUGUGGAUUUGGGUUGACCGACCAAAGAUGGUUUCUCCAGUAGUGGCUGAUGAUAUUAUUUUAUUAUACCAGAAGAAAAUAGAGAGAAAAACGGUGAUGGAAGUAUGCAACUGCCCCUAUUGAAGAGUGGAGGGGAGGAAUCAGGUGGGUGCUGCAGCCGCCUGUCAGGCCCUUGUGCCUUGAAUUAUAUGGGGAAGAAAGAGUGAUCAAUAGGGAUGGGGCAUGGCGGCAGAGCUCGAGUGACGUUGGCGAAGAGCGGUGGACCGGACAAGCCCAAGGUGAGGGUGAUGGAGCCAAUGCUGGCGUGGGAGGAAGCAGAGCCGUGGGAGUCGAGGCUGUGGCAGCGAUGAGCCAUGGGGCACGCCGUGCUACCCCAGCCAAAUCCAUCUCCCCAUUCCCUACCCUCUCUCGCUUUCUUGUUCUCCGCCGAGAUUGCCAGUGUGCCCCGAGGCAAGCGACGCUUUGCGAUAGGCAAGGGGGAGGGAUGUGCGGCAGUGGAGCUAGUGGAGGUGAGCCAUGCUGACGUCGUGGAGUUCAUCAUCAGUCGUUCUACCUCCACUGCGAGGUUGAAGCCACCUGGGCCACCUCCACGACGAGCUCACCAUCUCUCACGUCCACUAUGAGUAAGCCUUCGAAGCCCUUCAUCGCCUCCUCUUCCUCUUCUCUGUCACCCCCUUCCCCUCCUCUCCACCAUCACUUGCUCCUAGCUUCUCUUUGCACGCCAUGAAGGUCACAAGAUCUAGCGCGCCAUAGAGGAAUAAUGGGAGCGGCGUUCGACAGUGACAAGGACGACAGGAAAGCGGAGAGGAAUGGCCAGCCCUAGGCUUGCUCGACAACAAGGAGGACAGGACAGGCAAUGGGUGCUCUCCAAAUCCGGCGGCGGUGCCUUGGGUAAUUCAUCCGUGAUUGAAUAACCCCGAUAAUGAAAGCUUGUCUUAAUUGUAUAUUUCUAUCUCCAUUUCUUUUUGAUAUAAUAAAAUAAUGUCACGGAUAUCCAGCAACUGAUUAUCACAUUUUUAUUGUGUCCUCUAGCAGAAACACGUUCUUACAGUGGGAUCCAGCAAAGAACGUAAACUUUGGGUAUCUUGUAGCAAAAUUUUCCUUUACAGUAAUACUAGCUUCGAUUCUAGCAAUAUUAUUAUUCUUGUGAUCAAAAGCUUAUAGUUAGAGGAGCCUUGCUUACUAAGUGGUGGAAUGUAUGGUUAUUGAGAAAUUGAAGAAUUUUUAACCAUAACAUCAUCUCGGAGAGGGAGGUAGCCUAUUUAGUUAAACAGGACAUAGACCAUCGUAGAUCAGCUUUUAGGCCUUCUUUAAAUUCUGGCAGAGCUCCUGCCAUCGUCUUCCUAAAAGAAAAAUAUUCUUGUGUUCCAAAUAGUUAUAUAACCCCACACCAUGAAAGUGAAUGACCCCGUUGCUACCACAUGCAUGCGUGCAGAUGGACAAAAGCUAGUAUGCAUGGCUUGUGGUCAGAGUAUUAAUUCCUCACUUGACGCCAAAGCAAGGUAUUCAGUAUUCUUAUGGGAUUAUUAUGACGAAAGCUUCCAAACCGAUCGAGCUAAUUCUGGUAGCCGUUGAAACAAUGGCGUUGUUGCGUGCAUCUUCGUCUGUAAUAUCACACUACUAACGAGCGCUCGGUGGCAUUAUACUGCAUAUGAUCUCGUGCAAAUUGUUCACCAUGAUCUCUCUUUCCCACUUGUUGCCUUGUUGGCAGGCGAGGCUAUGCCUUUCUAGGUUCACUACAAAGCAUUUUAUAGUAUUCCCUUUGAUUUUUAAAUUAUGACGCAGUGAACUCCUAACAUAUUUGAUCAUUCGUCUAAUUUUUAAAAAAAUACAAAUACUAUCUAUUCUAUUGUGACAUAUUUUUAUCACUAAAUACACUAAUCCGGAAAGGAUUUUUACGAACGGUCAAAUAGUAUGUUCGGCAAACAAGCAGGACGUAUAACAUGCGCAAACAGGUGACUGCAGAAAUCAAUAUUUUUCCAAACGAGUGGCACAACCACAUAAGAAAAGUGAUUUUCCCACAUGGUAAGUUAUGCCGUCCAUCUGAAAAAAAACAUUCCAAACAUGUGAAACCCUAGCUCCAGUGGCUGAUCCAUCACACCGCACCCAGACCAGCAUGGCGGAUCCACCUCUGCUGAGGCCGUCACCGUCGUCCUUUAAACUCUUGAGGCAGGCACAGGAGAAUCCACCCCUCCCAAGGCCAACGGCGGCCGAUCUACCCGUCUCGUGGCCCCCACUGCCGCACAAAGCCCGUCGCCAACGAGAUCGAUGCCAUUGCCCAAAGCCCACCCCCUUCACCCCCUCGAAGCGCCGACGCAAGUCACCCGAAGCCCACCACCUCCACCCCUCGAAGCGUCAGUGCAUGAAGCAGGGACAUCGUGGUCACGGGGCUGCCGACGACAGAUCCACCCAUGAAGGAGCUGCCAGUGAUGGAUCCACGCACGUCGGUCGCUCCGUUGUCGUGGCUGGCCUUUCCCUCCAUCACCGCUGGCCUCUCCCUCCAUCGUGUCCUCUUCAACUAUCGACGCCACUCCCGCCGCCGAUCGUCACCGUGGCUGUUGCUCUUGAUGUUGCCCGCUGGUCGAGAGGUGAAGAGGGGGUGAGAGAGGGAGAGGAGAGGUGAUAUAUAAGGAGAGAAUUAAUGAGGGGAUUAGAACGAGGACUUAGCAUUUUUAAAUAGACGAGAGAAAAGAACAGUAAUAUGCAUGGGUGCCAAAAUUAUCACAGGCUGGGUCUUUUGGCACCUUCUAAAUUCUUUUUACAAACGAGCUUUCCUUUAGCCCUUCAAAAAAGUUUGCGUUAGUAAAAAAAUGUUUUUAGUAGUGAGAAACUUCAAGUAGUAACUUAUAUAUACUUCGUCAACAUAUUGACACUAAUUUUUGGAAUAAAAUACGAAUGGUCAAAAUUUGUUUCAAAAGUAAAAGAAGCCAUCUAUAAAAACAAACGGAAAGUAAUAUUUUUUUAAAAUAAAAUUCACCGGAAUUUCAAAAAUUUGGGCUGAACUCCCGACUCCAGGUGGCUAGGACUGUAGGAAUUAAUCAUACCAUGAAUUAAUGGACGCAUUGUUUAGCCUUUAUUUUUGUAUUUUUCAGUCAAUUCCCAUGAAAACCUGGAUUCCACGUUUUCUCCGGCUAUUUAGUUAUAAUAGCCACUAGCACCACUAUAAAAACGACCACACCGUCGGUAAAUGAUAUCGACUGCUGGUGAUUUCUCACGUGUGUUUUACCGUUACUACCGUCAUCGAUACGGCAGUCACUAGCUGUGACGUACAGGAUCAUGCACAUGUCCACGCUAUACUACAAGUAUCAUCUCUAUUUUAAAUAUAUGACACGGUUAAUUUUACGUAUGUUAUUUAACUAUUUAUUUUUAAGUAACAUAAAAUGCUAUUAAAUAUAUUUUUAAUUUUGUUCACUUAGUAUUUUACUAUUCAAGACACAUAGAAGGUGAUUUAUACUUUUAUAUAUUUGUAUUAAAUAUUUAAAUGAAAUGGAUCAGUGGCGAAAACAGGGGUAUGGCAGUUAGGGCUGUUGUCCGGCCUACUCCUAAGCUUAAAUAUCUAUUAAAAUUUACAUUUAAAAAUCUCAAAACAUAAAAAAUAAAGGUAAAUUAUGUAUAUUAUACUAGUUGAGGCCUAGGCUUAGAAAAUUUGCUACACCACUGGAUGAUCAUAUCUUAUACUCAAUAAGUGCGGGAUCCUGUCUAUAUAUACGAGUAAUCUAGCAUACGACGCGGAGACCUUGAAGUCAAUGCCAACGCCGUCACUGUUGACUGACAAGCAUGUGAGCAGCACGUGACCGUCAAAAGACAAAAGAAAGGGGCACUCUGUCAGGUCAGACCGUCAAAGUCUUUGACAUCCCUACAGUACCUAAAGGUCAUAAGAGCCUCUAUCCGGGGAGAAAUUCCCCUUUGUUGUUUUAUUGUUACUCCCUCCGUUUUAUAAUGUAAGUCAUUCUAGUAUUUUUCAUAUUCAUAUUGAUGUUAAUUAAUCUAAACAUAUAUCCACAUUCAUAUUGAUGUUAAUGAAUCUAAACAUAUAAUAUCAAUAUGAAUGUGGAAAAUGCUAGUAAGUCAUGUUUAGAUUCAUUAACAUCAAUAUGAAUAUGAAAAAUGCUAGAAUGACUUACAUAGUGAAACGGAGGAAGUAAUAAUUAUUAUUGUUAUGUAAAAUUGCGAUAGUUUGUAGAAUUAAUUUAUACGGUUAAGUAAAGUUUGUAACACUCCUCAAUAUAGCCAUUUAAUAAUGCCAUAAUCUUUUUUACAUAUUUUAGACUGUCAUAUCACUAUAUCAGCUUGCACAUAUUGGGAAAUUAGCCCUUGACAUGAAAAUUGGGAGAAAAUCAUGCACAGUGUUUUCCACCUAUUACCUGUGCGAUCACCUUGAUUUAACACGAUGUUUGAUUCCUUUACGACGCGUAUUGAUCGAUAGUGCCCAAAUCAUUCCCUGUGGAUCGCCCGUAGUACCCAUAGUACGUGCUAAAUAAAAAGGGAGCAUCAGGUUCCCUAAAAAAAAAGGGAGCAUCAGUAUCACUAAGUGACGACAAUCACUUCACCAUCAUCUUGUUACCGAAAAACCCUAACCAAUU